rnacentral:lncRNA from 1 species
UCACCGCACCCUUUUAUUGCCCUUAUGACCAAGGAAGAUUUAAAUGAAUACCUAUAUCAACCCAUAUACAUAGCUUCAGUAUCAGCCCUCUUAUGUUCUGCACCAUCAUCACCAGGCCAUCCCUGCCGAUGGCUUGAAAUGCUCAAAUCAGGCAGGCAGGGGUGGCCAAGGCUUUCUUUUUCGCUGAUGAUGGCUCGUUUCCAACCAGGUAGCGUGGGAGUAAAUGAAGAAUUGAAUUGUUCAAAAAACUGAAUCCCCUUUCCUCAAAUGGCAAAUUCUCUUAUAGGGCAACUUCGAUCCUUUGGCAAUUUUGGCUUUCUCUGCAACAUUUCUCUUCACUUCAUUAUAUGAUUUGCAGGGCUAGCUCGAGGUAACUUUCACCAGUGGGCGUCAGAUUCUCUUAUUAUAUAUGUAUUUGGUAUGUAUUUGUUUGUAGGCCAAUGGCCAAGGUUUUAGUAUGCUGCAGUAUUGUCGUACCGAGUUGUAUUUGCUGAAUAAAUUUGCUCUAAAUAAAGAUUGCUGAUGAGUGAUAAGCUUGCUUAUAAGGUCAAUGGAAGCUUGUUCUAAGAAGAAAACACACCCAAGAACGCUUAGCAAUGCCAUAAUAGUUACAGUAAUAUGGUACAUUUAUUUAAAUCUUAUCCCUUUUUCCUUGAAAAAACAUAAUUAAAUGGGUCCAUACGCUCUUACUUUAGAGAAAUGGGAUCCCUUUAUGUUUUUAUCCUCUUUUUUUGUUAAUGCCAUUUACGAAAAGACACGAGAGUCUAACCAUGGGUUGGACAUACGAUCAUCUUUAUGCUUAUGAAUACUACUAUUUGUUUUAUAAAAAAAGGGCCAUUAAUAUACAUAUUUAAGGAGCCUAAGCUGACAAUAAGGAUUGGAAAUCAUCUUCAUAAACAUUCAUAUGGUGUUUAAAUUAUUUUGACCUUACCUCUUUGUGCAAGAGCUUUUAAGUUGUUGGGUUGUUUCCUUAGGAAGAUUUCUUGGGAUAGAAUUAGAGUUGGCAAAACAAUUCAAGUGUGAAAAUUCUGAAAAUUCUUUUGAAUGAAUCUAACAUAAAAUCGAAUUCAAUUUGAGUUGAUUUUAAAAUUAAAAUUCGAGUCCAAAAAAUUCAAACUUUGAGAAAAGAGCUCGAAUUCAAGAAAACUCGAGUCUGGAAAAGAGCUCAAGCUUAAGAAAGCUUAAUCCCGUAACUAUCCUUUCCUGAAAUAAAUUCAAUCCUAAACUGAAAAAUAAUUAGUUUGCAGUUAUGAUAAACCAACUUUGUUUAAAGUUUGUUAUAAACAAUUAGAACCAAAACAGACAACUUAAGAAAAAUGAGCAAAGAAAAUAACUGACACAAUUCUGAUAUAAAGAUUCUAUGCCUGAGAAGCCUCACUCAAGAUAAAUCUUUAUUCAACCACCAGACAAUUCAAGAAUACAGUUCUUUCUUUAUUGGCUAAAGCAUCGAUAAAAAGCUAAUGAUCUUACACCACACAAUGGUCACAAGACAGAAAUACAAACACCCUAUUCAACAAAACACUCACUCAAAAGAAGAAACAAAUAAACAAGCUAAUAAACAACAAGUUGCGCAGCCAAUAUAUUAUGAAUGACUAUCUUAUGUAAAACACAAAACUUUACCGUUAGCCUAGCGGGAGAAAGAGGAGUACUUUUGGUCAUUAACAAUAUGGUUGUGGUCUUGGGUACAUUCAUCACUAAUACUCUGAUUAUUCAGAAAUCAUUUGAUAAUGUCCAGACUAAAAUUAAAUAAAUUCUCACGUCCCUUAACUUACUAAAAGUUAGCCGACCCUUCAACGCCAAUGUCGUACUGUAGAUUGCAAUAGAAUUCUUGCACAAUUUCUUUGACAUAUGUUAUGGCAAAAGUGUACUUCAGGAGAUUUUUUGUUUUAAUGUAACGACCCGAAAAUUAGUGAUGUAAAAAAUCCAGUUUUGAGACUCCAUUUUAGUAAACCGGGCCUAUAAAUAAUUUUAUUAAAUAUUUAUAAAGUUAUAUAUUAGGUAAAUUGAAUUUUGGAUAUCGAAUUAGUGAUUAAUUAAGGUAUAGGAGCUAAAUUGUAAAACUUAAAUUACUAUAGAUUUUUAAUUGGAAACUUAGAUUACGGAUCAAUGUAGUAAUUAUACCACAUUGGAAGUGUAGUGGACCGUAAAUGAUCCUAUUUUUUACACGUUACUUCGUUUUUUUGUUUUAAUUGAAACUAAAAUAAUUUUCAACUUUGUUUUAAAAAUCAUAAACUUUAUUUUGAAUAGAAUUUAAAUAUUUUUAUAAUUUUUUGAAUAAAUUAAAGGUAUUUAUCAUAUUAAUGUUUCGAUAGCAUCUUCCAUUCGUACCAUACAUUGGGACAAGCGAUGGGUGUUAUAAUUAUAAUGCAAGAAGACAACUUAUAUUAAUAGGUAAUCUAAAUUAUACAUUGCCCGUAGAAAUCAAAUUGAACAAUUGACUCAUGUGAACUAUUAUAUUGUCUAUAAGUCUAACUAGGAAGAUUGUUUGUCUUAAUUAUCGGAGAGAAUGACUCUCAAAAAUAGAGACACAUGUGUAAUUGUCUAAAUUGACAAUAUAUCGGACUAGACUCAAGUAGAAUUUAUCUUAGAUCUGUUUAUGAAUUUAUUCCCUUAUAACGUUUAUAGUGUGACUUACCUUAAUAAUGUCUAAGUGACUAACUUUGUGUACAUAGUUCAUGUGCUUUGAUAUAUUGAAAGCAUAUGCUCUCAUGGUAGUAAACUAAAAGUUAACAUAUGGGGCACAUAAUUUAUGUAUGGCAUGACUUCACUUAUAAUAGUAGAAUUCAUAACUCGGUUGAAGAGUAAAUGAUAUUCUCUCAUUGGUUGAUACUAGCAUUAAAACUCAUUGUUAGGCCAUAGGUGUGUUGGGCUAAGUUUGCCACAAUGCCCAAUAACUCGGUCCAAAACUAAACAAUUAAAAACUCAAUUCAACCUGCUGGUUCAAGAAUGAGUGUCAAAACAUUUUCAAGAGAAAGAAUUGGAAGAUCCAAUCACUCAAGACUAUUUGUUUCAUGUUGUUUGGGUUGCAAAGAUGCAAGCUCAAUUAAUGAAGCUAAAUGGACGUUUUUAGUAAGCUUACAAGAGACCCAACUGUGAAGAGUUGGGCCACACGUACAAGCAAUGAAUAAUCUAAUUACAAAAGCAUAAACAAAUAAUAAUAGUUAUCUCUAAAUUUUUCUAUCACAUAAGGAAUCAAAAAAUGACUUAAAGUUUUUUAAAAUUAAUUUUUAAAUAUUUAUAAGUAAAAAAGCAAGAAUAUGUAACAUGCAAAUUGCACUCGACUUUAAUGAUGAAUUACAACAAAAUUGUGCUGGUGCAAUAUAGCGUUGCGACACUUAUUUCUUAACUUGUUUAAUCGGUUUUGAGCGAUUCACAGGUUAAUUGGUCUAACUCUUAUGUUCAGACUUGUACCUUGAUAAAUUUAAUUUAAUUUAAACAACAUGAAGGAAGAAGUAGACAUAUUUGAACAAGUUUAUCGAAAGAGGAAAGAUAUUAAUGAAAUUAAAUCAACAAAUUUCUAUCAAAUCACUAGAGUUAUCAUUAUUAAAGGAUAACGGAAGUGGUUGUAUAGGUUUGAACCUCAUACUUGAUGCAAGGCAAAUCAUUUCCUAUUAUACCAGUGGCUAGUUGACAUCAAAUUCCAAGGGUUAAGCCUAAGAUUAUGUAUAUAAUCUACCUUAUAUUUUGCAUGACUUUAGCGUAUAACAAAACUCUUUUCAUGGACAUAACACAGUAAUCUCAAUCUAUGUUAUAUGAACUUUUUCCGUACGUAAUAUCUUAUAUUAAAUAAAUAUCUAAAUACGCUAACAUAACUUAGAGUACUCCUGCCUUGUAAUCAUAAGCUCCAUUAGGAGAACAUAGGAGUUUGGCUGAUUGUGCUGAACUGCUUUAAAAUAUAUGCCUUAAAUUUCAUUGUUGUGAUUAUCUUAAAAUAUGUAAGGUCAGAAGUAUAUGUUACUCAAACGCCCCCAUGCAAAUCCAAAUUAGAAUAGUCAUUAUGGUGAUGAAAUCAUAAUUACAUUAAGCAUAUUUUCAUUUUGUUUAAAUUGAUAAAGAAGUAUAAAUUACUCAAAUGAACAGGCAAAUCUUGCGUUCCUUUGUUUUCAUCAUUGCUAUAAUCAGAUCAUCUUUCCUUUUCUCUUUCUCUCUGCAUCUCUCAUGGGUUAGCGUAUGCAGUUUCUAACCUUUUUUUAACUCUUUCGUAUCUUUAUUUUCUACACCAUUACUUUCGGCCUUUUAAUUUAUGAAAAUCAAUAACCAGGCCCUCCCACAGAUAUAUCUUACCUCCCACGCCAAACAUCACUUAACCGCCCCUCGUCCUUCCAAGGGAAUAUAAUAAAGCCGUACCUUUGCCUUUGCUCUUUUAGCUCAAAAAUUACAUCAUUCUCUAACUAAUCCCCCCAUUGCAUUAGCCAUGAGGCUCAAAACUAACUCCAUUUGGCUCUUUGCCUUUCUCUUUGCACUCUUUUCCAUCCUAAUCUCUCUGUAUACACUCCCUCCUUCUUCCCAAGCAACCAUCUCCAUGAAAUUUGAAGCUUCCUUCGUCAAGAAAGUUGUGAGCCAAAGCGGUGAAUUCAUAUCUUUGCUAACGAGGAUGGUGUCUAGACAUCAUCAUCAUCAUCGUCAUCGACGUCGUCACCAUCAUCACCAUCAUAGGAGGGGGCGUGAGCACAAAUGUGAUCAUAUCAAAUGGAGGUCGAGCUUGAGCACUAGCAGCCUUAUUUAUCAAUACAAAGUGUCACUUGUAUUAACAGUUGACUUAGAGGGUUGCGGUAACUUCAGCAGUGCGCAGAAGGCUAUCGAUGCUGUUCCGGAUUCCAGCCCCUCCAAGACCCUGAUCAUUAUUUAUUCUGGUACAUACAGGUCAUUAUUGAAAAACGUUUCUUCCCUGUAUGUAAAUAUUUGCACAUGUAUAUGCACCAUGAACAGCUAAUAUCAUUGAUGAUCCACUAUGAUUCAAUCUUGUGCAAUAUGCAUGGAACUUUGAAUCUAAGUUACAAACAUGGGUGACCUCUGAUUCAGGGAGAAGGUUGUGGUCCAUGCAAGCAAAUCCAACUUGAUAAUUCAAGGUGAGGGUUUUCUCAACACAGUUAUAGAAUGGAAUGACACUGCAACUUCCACUGGAGGAACAGUGUACAGCUCUUCGGUUGCCAUCUUUGCUUCUAACUUCACAGCCUAUAACAUUAGCUUUAAGGUAAAUCAUCACACUUAAUUCCUGAAAUUAACAUUGCGUGUGUAGUAUAGCCUACAAAUUUAGCUUCAAUCUCACUGUCUUUAACUUCUAUCAUUAUAUUUUCAUAGUUGUUGCAAUUUAGAGGUACUGAAAGGUGGAUUUGGUCCAUUUGUCCGUCCAAUUUUCUCAAAAUGCAACGUGGAGUAUGACUAUGAGCCUAACCUCAUCUCUCGAAUCUGAUUGGACGUUCAAGGAAGACAUAUUUAUGAUGUACUAGAUAUUGUCUUACGUGUUGCUUAUUUUACACAUUUAAAAAUUUACCAUCGAUAGAAAAAAUCACUAAAAUUAAAAAAGAGAAAGCGCAAAUAUUAAUUUAAAAUUUGUGAGAUAAAUUAACCUUUCAGCGGAAAAUACAUUUAAGAAUAUUUUGACCCUAAAUAGGAUCAACAAAAAUUAAGUUCUAAAAAUUUAAUUUGACUAUUUUUCUUAUUCCAGGAUAUACCUAUCCGAGGGUCGGCUAUAUGCUCGACUUGGACUGUGAAAUUUAUGGCAUUGGACAUGACUUUUGUAAAUUUGGACCAUCUAGACCUGAAUUAUUAUUUUAAUUAUGAAAUAUUUAUAUAAAAAUGGUUUUUAUUUAUUUAACACUAAUCCGAGCCAUUUAACCCAAUCGGCAAAAGGAUUGCAAAAAUUUAGGUUGGUAUCCAGCCUAAUAAGUAAACUAGUCUAGUCUUGCAUGGAAGACCGUCCUAGAAUUUGAAUGGAUGCUUGUUCUUUAAAAUUAGAGUUGAAAUGCUUCAGAGUAAUAUUAAAAACAUGGUAAUGAUUUGCGUUAUUCUUGUUGAUUAAUUGAUCAGUCUAUUGAUUGCCAAUUUUUCUGGAAAAGAAUACAGCUCCAGAGCCAAUCCCUGGUGAAACCGGAAAGCAGGCAGUGGCGCUUAGAAUAGCAGGGGAUCAAGCUGCUUUCUACAAUUGUGGAUUUUAUGGAGCCCAAGACACACUUCUGGAUGAUCGUGGCAGACAUUAUUUCAAAGGUUGUUUCAUACAAGGUUCUAUUGAUAUCAUUUUUGGAAAUGCUAGAUCACUCUAUCAGGUACCAACAAUUUUCGGACGUCUUACCCAUGCUGUUUUGUCACUGAACCCGACAAUCGGAUUUAGAUUAUACAUUUCCACUAAUUGUUGACAGGGUUGCGUUAUCCACUCAAUUGCUAAAGAAGGGACGAGUGGAGUUAGCGGAUCCGUCACAGCUCAUGCAAGACAAUCGUUGAAUGAGCAAACAGGGUUUUCAUUCGUAAAUUGCAUCGUCCGGGGAACCGGGAGCGUCUGGCUUGGUAGAGCUUGGGGAGCGUAUGCCACCGUCGUCUUCUCCCGAAGUUACAUGUCGGAUGUUGUGGCACCGGUCGGAUGGAACGACUGGCGAGACCCUUCUAGAGACCAGUCUGUCAUUUUCAUUCAUAUAUUAAAAACCAUAUUUAUAUGGCAAUUAUUUUAUUAUAAUAAAAAAUGAACUUUUUAUUGUUUCCAGGACUGUUUUUUUUGGAGAAUAUGAGUGCUUGGGGCCUGGAGCAAACUACACAUUCAGAGCUUCUUAUGGGAAGCAGCUAAUGGAAUAUGAAGCAGCUCACUACAUGAACAUAUCAUAUAUUGAUGGAGAUCAAUGGCUUCAAGACUAGGCUUUCAUCUUCAUGCUAUAUAUAUAUUAUAUCCUAUAUUCAAACCCUCAUAUAGUUUAUGUAGAAAAAUUCAUUUCUGACGGAAAUUAUAAGUACAUAUGAAAUUGUUAUCUUAUUCGCUCUUACUUACCCGCUAUUUGGUUAACUGAUUGGGUCUUGACCCGUCGAUCCAUGUGGUUUGCACUUUGAGUUCGCACGUGAGAUGUUCACACCCCUCUAUGGAAUCGCAUGAUGUAGGUUCGCAUCAUCAUGUAGACGAACCCAUAUCUAGUAAACAUGUGUUAAUCUUAGAAUAGGGUACGUGUUGGCAUGCAUAGAGACCUACCUACGACAUCACAUUCAUGAAUAAUAACUAUAUCAUAUAAAUAUACAAUUUAACCCUUUUGAAGAACACAUUCUAAAACACUCAACAAAAAUAAAAUGGAACAACCAUUCUUUUAGUAAGUGAUCUACUUUUAUAACGUUUCAUCAAAAAUCCCUUUUUUUCAACAUCUGAAUCACUUUCAAUCAUAAGAAAAAGCGCAAGCACUCAUUCUUAAAAUUAAAUUUUAAAACUCCCCCCUCUCCCAACUAAUUUAUUUAAUUAAACUAUAUAUUAUAUUUUAAAAAAUACUUGUUUUAUUUGUCGAAAAAGAUUUUAGUUGGUUGGAUGUUCUAAUUAAAUAUCCCAACUAAUAUUGGAAUAGAAGUUGGACCACGAUAGGUUAACAAACAGAUUAUAAAAGGAAUAAGGUAUGGAGGGAAAUCAACAAAUGCAGUUCGGAUUUAUUAUUUCUAUUUUAUAAAUUUCAGUAAAUCCAAAACCGUAUUGGUUAAAAACUCAAUCUACUUUUACACAAGAAAUAAUUACAACCCAAUAAAGUACCCUAAUGUCACAAUGACUUAUCCCAAACAAGCUCACUUACAAUAAGGAUUACUCUCCAGUAAAAUGCCUAAUACAAUAGUGUAAAAGUACAACGCAAAGAAAGCACAAUACUUGACUAAAAAACACUCCAAAGACACUCACAACAUGUGCGACAAUACAACCUAUUUAUAGGUUGAUAUUAGCAAUUUCUCCAAAUAACUUGAGAAGAUAAAUCAAAUUUUAAAAUAAAGGAAUUAUCCACAAAAAAUUUCUUUUUUAAAUUAAAAAAAUAAGUAAAAUAAAAAUAAAGUCAAAGGAUGAAGGUAAUGUUUGCCUUGCAUCAAACUCUUCUCUUUCCUUUGCCAUUUGUAAAUUAAACUCUCGGUAAUAUUAAAAUUAAUCAAAGCAAAAAUCAGCCAUCCAAAAUUAUACAAGCUUAUUGCAUAGCUAUACUAACUUGUUGUCCCAAGUGUUGCUCAAACAAUGAGGGUAACAAGACUGCAACAGAUAAUUGAAGUCCCAACAAUCUCCUUCUUUGACAUUUUGACAAAAUAUGUCAGCAACUGAUAAUGCACGUGCCAAGAACUCCCUCUUUUGAUAUGCAUCAAAUCAAAUCAUCAACCUAGGAAUUCAAAUAUAACUGAAGAAAAUGCAUUAUCAAAUGAAAACUCACCGCAGAAAAAUGCAUCAUCAAAUACCAUGCUCAAACAUCAAUUAGUAAACCAAACAUAUCUUAAAUCGCAAAAGAUUUAUAAAUCAUUAUCAAUUAGCCAUCAAAUCAGACAUCACCAAAUAUCAAUUAGUCAAUCAAACAUAUCUUAAAUCUCAAAGGAUUUAUAAAGCAUUAUCAAUCCGCCAUUAAGAUAUCAAGUUUGAAACAACUUCAAACAAAGUAGUACUAAUCGUAAAAAUAACAAAAGAUUAGCAACAAAAAGGUGCAAAAGCAAAUAGAACAUAAGCAAUCUUUCAAAACCAAAUCUGCAAUGUAAAAUGUAAUAGCGAGCAUUCACCAUCUCAUCUCAACUUCAAACAUUUGUUAUUACUUCUCCUCCCCUUUCAAGGUUGUCUUCUUCAAAUAGUAAAUCAAUUAAACAAACUUUAACUUGAUAACAAAUCAAAAAUUUGAUGGUCACUAAAUUAACUAUAAAUAUGACAAAGGCAAGUGCACCAAUCAAACAAUAGUAUAGCUAUGGUGAGUAGAGAAUAACGUAUCCACGAGGACUAAAAAUACUAAUAAUUACCAUUUUUCUAUUAUUUACUCGACAAUUUGGAGUGAUGUGUUUUAAUCUAAAAUUACUAAACUAAUUAUACUAAGAAUGCAACAAAGAAUAAAUUAAGAAAAUAAUCAAAUAUUAACCAAUGAGAUAGACAAUAGCCAGGAAAGAAUUUCCCUAGACUUCACUUAUUACUAUGAACUAAAUUAAAUGGUUUAUUCACUUGUGUCUUGAUCCGUAGAAAUCCCUAAAUUAUGUUAAUAUCUCUUUCGAGAGUAAGAACAACUGACUCUAGAUUGAUUAAUUGAAAUCUCUUUCUAAUUAAAACCCCUAUCGUCACAUUAACUCGAUCUAUGGAUUCUCCUAUUAGAUUUGACUCUAAUCCGUAGAUUUAUGUCGUCCUAUUUUUAGGAUUGCAUGCAACUCUACUCAAUUAUGCUAGAUCUACUCUUAAACAGGGACUUUUCCUCUACUGAAAUAAGCACAUUAAACAUGAGUUAAUAUCCCAGAAAUAUUAAAACAAGAAAUAAGUAUACAUAAUUGAGAAUAAGAAUCAAGUAUUUAUCGCGUAAAACAGAAAUUAAAUAAAAAGAUUUAUCGUAUGUUUCAUUCUCUCUAGGUAUCUAGGGAAUUAGUUCAUAAUCUUGAAUGAAAACAUCUCAAAGUCAAAAUAAUAACAAUACAUAAAGAAACUCAAUAAAACUUCGAAAGAAAUUAAAAGGAGAUCUUCGAUCUUGAUGGAGAUCCGCUUCCAAGUUGAUUCCGAUGGUGUUCUUUUAGUGUUUUCUUCAAUCUUAUGUGAUUGCUCCUUUAUAUCUUCUUCUAAUUGAUAUUUAUAGACUUUAGAAUGCUCAAAGCCUAAAAAUUGAGUCUUUCCGCGUAUUUGGGAAGCAGGGUGUGAAAUCGACACGAGCUAGCACAUGUGCUUGUGUCUAGCCUGUGUGGAAAUGCUCAGCCCGUAUGGCUCCUGAAAAUAGCUCUAUUCGUCUGAUUUUGGCUCGUUUUUCGCUCCUUUUGCUCCCAAAUGCUCUCCUAAAUAUAGAAACAUGAAUUUAAAGGAUUAGGAGCAUCAAAUUCACUAAUUUACAUAAUUAAUCAUCCAAAAACACAUUAAGAAUGAGAUUAAAAUAUAUUAUUUUUAUAGCUUAUCAAUAACAAAUCUCCAUAUUUCAGCAUUAAUUUAAUUCAAUUCAGCCCUUAACAAAUCUAAAACUUGUGCAUUUUGUAUAGUUGUAGCAGGUUGAGUCCAGACUGUAACAGGUUCCAGCCAUCCUUGUAUAUUUGAAUAUUAGAUAACCACUAACAAGACAUUUGAGACUCUGUCAAGAUAAUUUACUCAGCUAACUUUUGCAAUUUUUUUAAGGGUUAUUAGCCUUUCUUUUUAAAUUGUAACAACUUUAUUUAUAUUAUCGAUUUUUUUUAGAUUAUUAACAGUUUUUAAUUUUGAAAUUUAUUUGGUAUAUAUUAUUUAGAUUAUAUUGACUAUUUUUUAAAUUAGUCAAAAAAUAACAACCUUAUCUUAAUCUAGAGAUUGAUGUAUCAAAUUCUUUUUAACUCUUUUCCUUUGUUAAAAUUAGUAUUCAAAUGCAAAAGUCAGCAUAUGAGAUAAUUGAAUUUCAGAAAGUGAUAUUUGGAAUAUUAGUGUUUUAUAAUUUUUAAUUUAAUUUAAUUUUUUUUCUUAUUGUUAUUUAUGCAAAUUUCCAUUCACCAAAUAAGAAAUAUUUAAAUUUCUUUGCUUUAUUAAUUUUAAUUAUUCAAAUAAAAAAUAAAUAUAUUAUUUCUUUUCUUUAAAUUUCCCUUCCUUUCCUUUCUUUUUUUUCUCCUUUAAUAAUAUUUAUCAAACAUAGGGUUAAGUCAUGAUCUUCCUUUGAGUCUAUCUCUUGAAAGAGUCUUCAUAAAGUCUUGAUCCUAGACUUUAAUUACAACACAUUUUGCUAUUGAUUUACAAGAAUAAAAAUGAUUACAAAUAAAAGUCUAAACUGCAACUAAAGAUUAAGCUGUGGCAUAUUAUUUAUGACGGCAUGUAUAUCAGGCUAGGCAUUUUGUACAUUGUAAAUGCUCAAAUUUGCCCUGCCCCAUCAAAAAUAAAUCAAGAAAUAAAAUAAAUAAUAAUAAUAAGUCCAAAAAUUUACAGCCCAAAUUUUCAAUGGUCCAAUAUGGCCCAAAAUUAACCUAAAUCCUAAAGCCCAAAAUUUUCAGAAAAAAAUAAAUAAAAACCCUAAUUCCUAAGCCGCCGCCGUCAGCGCGAAUGUCUCCCUUGACGCCUUGGGAGCGUCUCCCCUCCAUUGACCUUGCCAAUGCUUGCAAAAAUGACAGAAAAAAAAGCAGAAACAGUGCAAGAAACGAAAAAGAAGCGAAUACAAACAGCAGCAGUAGCAGAAAGCAAACACAUGUAUCUAUGGCAAUAAAAGCCCUCACCAAUUUGUAAAUUUUUUAAGAAGAAAUACACAGAGAAAUCAUACAAAAAUUACAAAGGUGGUUCCUUUGUUUUUUUAUAUAUCUGUUAUAUUUUAGAUACAUGUAAAAAAUAAAAAGAAAAAGAAAAGAAAGAAACUCACCUGUGUCGCUUUGCAUACUGGCCGUCAGAUACUUUUUUCGGCAUCGAAAUCGACAGAGAGAAGGCCAAAGGCCGAGUCUUUUCUAUUUCUUUUUCUUUUUUUAAGCAUUUUCCUUCUCAAUCUAAAACCCAGGUUUAAAACGGGCUAAAAAGGGGUAUUUUCGGUAUUAAAAUACCGCUUCAUAUGCCAAUGUCACGAAGUUGGCAGUUAGCAAAUUCUUGAAGAAAGAGAUCAUAUGUCGAUAUGGAAUGUCGGAAAGGAUCAUAUCUGACAAUUCAUUAAACUUGAACAACAGUACGAUAGCGGAAGUCUACCGUCAAUUCAAGAUCAAACAUCACAACUCGUCACCAUAUCGCCUAAAAAUGACUGGUGCGGUAGAGACAGCCAAUAAGAACAUUAAGAAGAUCGUGGAAAAAAUGAUUGAGACUUAUAAAGAUUGGCAUGAGAAGUUACCAUUUGCCCUCUAUACCUAUCAAACGUUUGUCAGAACCUCUACCAGGGCAACGCUUUUUUCUUUGGUUUAUGGAAUAAAUGCGGUUUUGCCCAUUGAAAUUGAGAUUCUGACUUUCCAAGUAUUGGCAGAGUUGAAGUUGGAUGAAGCAGAAUGGAUCCAAUCCCAAUAUGAUCAAUUGAACUUGAUUGAGGAGAAGAGGUUAAAAGUUAUUCGUCAUGGUCAGAUGUACCAAAAAUGAAUUAUGCGAGCUUACGAAAAAAAGAUUCACCCCAGAGAAUUUCAUGAGGGGGACCUGGUAUUGAAAAAGAUCCUUCUCAUACAAAAGGACUUCAGAGGAAAGUGGAUGCCAAACUAGGAAAGACCUUAUAUGGUAAAGAAGGCAUUUUCUGGAGGAGCGUUGAUUUUGACCGAGAUGGAUGGCAAGAACCUGCCUAAUCCUGUGAAUUUGGAUUCAGAUAAGAAAUGUUUCACUUAAAAAAAAAGAAAGGCCAAGAUGAAAACUCGUAAAAAUGAGCCUUGAGACCAAAGGGGUUUUGAGUUGAAAACCCAGAAAAGGGCAAUUUAAAUUUUGAUCAAAGAUAGGGCAUGUGGUAGUCAUGUCCUCUCCGAAUUAACAAGAAGCGAUGCUACAUGUUGGGGCAUCAACAGAAUACGCUAUGUCUUCUAAAUACAUAUCAAGCUCAAAAUGGUCAUCGAGAAGUUUGUGUGGAGAAGCUCAUGCUACGAUAUCUGGAGCACUUAUUUUCAUCUUAUUCAUUUUGUAUUUUAGCAAAAUUUGCUAUUUUGAUUAAUUUAUUUAUUUGGAGCUUUACUCCUAAUAAAUUUCAAUCUCGCCUAUUGUUUCAAUCUUUUUUCAAGCAUUUUUCAUUGAAAUAACGAUUAAUAGACUAAUAAUAUUCAAGUAAAAGGAGUUCUGCAUAUUACUCUUAAAAGUCUUCUAAAUAGUACGAGGACUUGAAACAGGACCACUAAUCAAAGCUAACCAAUUUUAAGAGUUGGAAACAUUUGAAAAAGAGUAGUCUAAAUUGUGAUUAUUUAUUCGGGUUUUCUAUCCAAAACACCAGCUAAAAAAAGAAGGCAGGGUAAUACAUCAGUGAUAGAACCUUGAUGAACAACGAGCAAUGUCAACCUAAGCAUUAAAAAGGAUCAUUUUCGAAAAAUGACAUUCUGCAUUUAUGCAAAUAUCAUGCAUACACAUCUAAUUAGGAGCAUUUGAUUCAUUUUGAUCAUGACAUCAUAAUUGCUUGACAUGAAUAUGCCCAUGAAACAGAUUCUACAGGUCAUGUUCCCUAGAAAAUGGUGUAACAGAUCAGAAAAACCACAGAUCCUAUACCCCUGAAGUUGCAGUGGGAUGGAUUGAGGUCACCGUGACGAAUCUUAUCUCCCUGAAGUUGAAGUGGAAAAGAUUAAAGUCACAAAUUUCAUCUCCUUAAAGUUGCAGUGGAGUAUAUUGAAGAUAUAAGUCUUAUCUCCCUAAAGUUGUAGUGGAGCAGAUUAAAGAUAGUGAAUCUUAUUUCCCUGAAGUUGCAGAAGAAUAGAUAAAAGCUACAAGUUACAAAUCUUAUCUCCCUGAAGUGGCAGUGGAGUAGUUUGAAUAUACAAAUUUUAUCUCCCAGAAGUUGCAGUGGAGCAGAUUGAAGAUAGCAAAUCUUAUCUCUCUGAAGUUGCAGUAGAGCAGAUUAAAGCUAUAAAUCUUAUCUCCCUUAAGUUGUAGUGGAAAAGAUUGAAGAUAGCAAAUCUUAUCUCUCUGAAGUUGCAGUAGAGCAGAUUAAAGCUAUAAAUCUUAUCUCCCUGAAGUUGCAGUGCAAAAGAUUGAAGAUAGAAAAUUUUAUCUCUCUAAAGUUGUAGUAGAGCAUAUUAAAGCUAUAAAUUUUAUCUCCCUGAAGUUGCAGUAGAGAAGGUUGAAGAUGCAAAUCUUAUUUCCCUAAAGUUGUAGUGGAAUAGAUUAAAGCUACAAGUCACAAAUCCUAUGCCCCUGAAGUGAUAGUGGAAAAUAUUAAAGUCACAAAUUUCAUCUCUCUGAAGUUGCAGUGGAGCAGAUUGAAGCUACAAAUCUUAUUCCCUCAAGUUGCAGUGGAACAGAUUAAAGCUACAAGUUGCAAGUCUUAUCUCUCUGAAGUUGCAGUAGAGUAGAUCAAAGCUAAAAGUCUUAUCUCCCUGAAGUUGCAGUGAAGCAAAUUGAAGCUACAAGUUACAAGUCUUAUCUCCCUGAAGUUGCAGUGGAGUAGAUUGAAGCUACAAAUCUUAUCUCUCUGAAGUUACAGUGGAGCAGAUUGAAGCUACAAAUCUUAUUUCCCUGAAGUUGCAGUGGAACAGAUUAAAACUACAAGUUACGAAUCUUAUCUCCCUAAAGUAGCAGUGGAGCAGAUUGAAGCGACAAACCCUAUACCUCUAAAGUUGUAGUGGGUUAGAAUGAAGCUACUUGAAAAAGAGAAGCACCAAAGAGGUUGAGAUUCUAUAGGACCAAACAAAUUUGGCCCUUUUUAAAGUAUUUACUUCAUUCUCAUUACACGACAAUGAGCAAAGAAGGGCAGCUAUAAAUGCCCAAAUUUGCCUGGGCCCAUCAAAAAUAAACCAAGAAAUAAAAUAAAUAAUAAGUCCAAAAAUUUACGACCCAAAUUUCCAAUGUCCCAAUAUGGCCCAAAAUUAACCAAAAUCCUAAAGCCCAAAAUUUUCAGAAAAAAAAAACAAAAAAAAAACCUAGUUCCUAAGCCACCACCGUCAGCUCAAACGUUGCCCUUGACGCCUCAAGAGCUCUCCCCUCCGUUGACCUUGUCAACGCCUAUAAAAAUGACAGAAAAGAAGGUAGAAACAACACAAGAAACAGAAAAGAAGUGAAGACAAACAAUAGCAGUAGCAGAAAGCAAACACAUGUAUCUAUGGCUAUAAAAGCCCUCACCAAAUUGUAAUUUUUUUAAGAAGAAAUACACAGAGAAAUCGUACAAAAAUUACAAAAGGUGGUUCCUUUGUUUUUUUUAUAUAUCUGUUAUAUUUUAGAUACAUGUAAAAAAUAAAAAUAAAAAUAAAAAUAAAAGAAAGAAACUCACCUGUGUCGCUUCGCAUACUGGCUGUUGAACACUUUCUCCGGCGUCAAAGUUGACAGAGAGAAGGCCAAAGGGCGAGUCUUUUCUAUUCUUUUUCUUUUUUUUAGGCAUUUGCCUUCUCGAUCUAAAACUCAGGUUUAAAAUGGGCUAAAAGGGGUAUUUUCGGUAUUUUUUGGCCACCGAGAAUGGCGGAGCCCGUCGCCGGUGGCCGCCUUGGGCUCGCCGGACCUGUAGGCUGGAAUAGGGUUUUGCUUCAGAGAAAAAAGAGAGCUUUUUCGGUUUUUUUAUUUAUUUUAAGGGCUGAAGUGAUUUUUUUUAAAAAAAAAUUUAACUUAAAUAGCGGAGGUGAAACGACGCCAUUUCACUCAGCCCCCCAAAUGCCCAAAACGGCGUUGUAACAGCCCGAUUUUGGCCCAAAUUGGAACAGUGGUUUUGGGACCACACAUCCGAGUUCGAAAAACAUUUUAAUAUUUUUAUUUUGUGUUUAUUAUGUGUAAAUUUACAUCAGUGAAAGUUUCGUGAAUUAAUUUUAUUGUUUAAGUGCUUAAUUUGAGAAAAUGGCUUAAUCGCGUAAAAUGAAAAUUUAGUGGUUAAAUAUGAAAGUACCUAAUUGUUGUUGUCUUUAUAAUUUGGAGGGUUUAUGUUGUAAUUUAACCAAUAAUAAAGGUAGUGGACGGCAUGAUGGUUAAUAUAUAGUUUUUAUAUAUUAAAUAUAAAAGUUAAAAAUAAUAAUAGUAUAAUAUAAUGUUAUAUUAAAUAAACAUAACUUAAAAAGCAAUGUUUUCUUUAUCUUUCUUCAAACCAAAACAAAAAGAAAAGAAAAAGAAACCAAAACAAAAAGAAAAGAAAAAGAAAUAAGGAAGCUAUGUAUUCGGCACUUGUUCAAGCAAUUUGAGGUAUGUUUCGGUUUCGAUUUUUGAUGAUUUUUAUGUUUUUGAGAUCGUUGCUUCGAAUACUACUCGACCCCUUGAAUUUUUGAAUUUGAUGAUGAUUUUGUAUUUUGCCAUUGUUGAAAGCUUGUUAUUUUGUUGUUAAAUGAUAGAAAAUAAAAGAUAUGGAAUGGAUAAACAUAUGUUGUAAUUGAAUUUUUGAUGAUUUUGAGUAAUUAGGGCUAAAUUGCAAAAAUAAUAAAUUAAGGGACUAAAAUGUGAAAUAAAUGACAUGCAUGGACUUAUACGAGCUUAGUGCAUAUUCGGCCAAGCUAUUGUACAAUGAAAGUUUGUUUAUUUUGUAUUUUGUGAAAUAAGGACUAAAUUGUGAACAAUGUGAAAUGUUAGGGGCAAAAUGGUAAUUUUACCAUUUAUGUGUUUUUGGAUUAAAUUGAGUGAAUGUGUGUUAAAUUAGUUAAAUUUGAACUUAUUUAGAUCAAGAACGGAGAAAAACAGAAUUAGAUCGAGGGAAGUCGAAAGUAGUCGAGUAGUUGAUUUUGUCUGUCGAUAUCCGAGGUAAGUCGAUAAGCAUUUAAAUGUUGUUAAAUUCAAGAAUAUAUAAAUUAUAAGUGAUAAAUUAAAUUAUUUUAUUUGUUAUACUUUUUGGCCGAAUGUGAUUAUUGAGAUAGGAAUUUCGUUUCGAGUUUGAUUCGAUCGAUAAUCAACGCCUAAAAGCCCCGUACGAACCCUAGGAAUAGAUAAGAUAUUUAUGUCAUGACAUAGGACUCUAAUAUGUGUUUUCGUGUAAGACCACGUCUGGGACGUCGGCAUCGACUUGUGUUUAUGUCUAAGACCCUGUCUGGGAUAAUGGCAUUGGUAUGUGAUUACAUGUAAGACCACGUCUGGGACGUUAGCAUUGUACGAGCUUUCUGAUUAUCCGUGUAUCCUUUUUAAUUCCGAACGGUUCAACGGGCAAUGAUAAGUGAAGACCGAAUGUGAAAUCGAAAUAAUAGUGUUCAGGUAUGUAUUUAUAUCAUGCUAUGAAAUUAAGGUAAGUUGUAUAUUGAAUUGAUGAUUCAAAGUUAAUUGAUAUAUGAAUAAUGUGUGAGCAUGUUCGUGCUUAUAAGUGAUUUGGUGGUAUAAGAAGAUUUGGCCUAUUAUUAUAGUCUUAAAUUAUAAAAUGUUAAGUAUACAAGUAUUUGAGUAUUUGUGCACUAAGCUUUAUAAAGUUAAAUGUUUACUUAUAUUUGAUUUGGUUGGCUUGGUAAAGUGGUUUGAUAUUAAUGUUAAAAUGAAUAAUAUUUGUUUACAACUUACUAAACUGACUUACUAAGUUGCAAAAGCUUACUGUGCGUGUGUUUUUUGUUUACCUUUGUUUUAUACAUUUAGGAGUCACGAUAUGAGCUCGGGGAUCGUCAGCAAAGUAUAUCUCACUAUCAACAUAUUUUGGGUAUUUUGAUAAAUUUUUGAACUCGAUAUUAUGGCAUGUAUAGGCUUGCUUAUGUUUUUGGUUAGUUUUGGAACAUGUAUAUAAAUGGCCAUGCGAAAAUGGCUUAUUUCUUUUGAUUAAGCCUAGUUUCUGUGCCUUUGAUUAUAAUAGAUUUAUUUGAUGCUUGAUAUAUUUAGAUUCGAUCAUGGUAUGAUUAUGUGUGACUUGUUUAAUAUGUUUUGUUAAUGAUCGAUUGAACUAAGUCAUGGAUUAAGCUUGCAUCGAAAGUAAUAGGUAUAUUAGGUCAUGAUUUAGGCCUAAUUCGAAAGUAUGUUUUAUGCUAUAAAUGAGUGUAUGAAUUUGAGUUUGGAAAAUGAGAAAUGAUAUGUAUAAAAUUUAAAUUUAUGAAUUAAGUAGUAUGCAUGUCAUACAUGUGUGUGUGCUUAAUAUAUGCUUACAGUUUAAAUUAGUAAGUUUAAUACCGAAUAUAUAAAUGUUUGUGAUGUUUGAUGUAUAUUUAUAAUUUGGCUUAAUAAUGGAGUAAAAGAAUGUAUAUAAGUUCGAAUGUGUAUAGGUUAUUUUGAUUUGGUUUGUAUUGGAAAUGUAUGCACAAAUAUUAUGCUUGAAUGAUUGGCUAAUUAGGUACGGUUGGUAAAAGAUAAAUAAUGAAUAUGUCACAUGAUUACUUUAGUUGAUAAUUAAAGUGAAUAUGAUUAUAAGAUUAAUGAUAUGAUAUGAUAUUAAAAUGACAAGCAUGAUAUUUUAUUUAAAACACUUAAAUAAAUGUAUUAUGUAUUAUAUGUUAUAUUGAUUGCCUGAUUCUGGAUUAACUUAGCUUUUGAUAUGUAUGAAAUUUUUAACGCGAUCUAAUGUAUAUAAAUUAGUAUGCAAAUAAUGUGUAAUCUUAGUUAUUAUUUGUGCUCAAUUUGCUUAAAAUAACAAGGUGAUAUGUGCAUGGUUUUUAUGAUUGGUAAAGAAACAUGUUCAGUUUUAAAUUAUGUUAUUUUAAAAGUGUGCAAUGCCGAUUUAAAUGAGUGAUAAUUAAGUAUGUGAUAUGGUUCAUAUUGAGUGAAUUUAAAUGCGCCUCAUGGUUGCUACUAAUCAUUAGUAUAUUCGGCCAUAAUGGUUAAUAAUCAAGGUUGUAUUUUUUUAUGUAUAUUUGGUAUAUGUAUUGUAAUGACGUAUAUAUAUAUAUAUAUGAAUAAUCUUAAAUAUACGUAUGAUAUUAAUAUAGAAAUUUUAAGUUUAAAAUCAGAUGUAAUAAGUGUCCUGAUGAGUUUAAAUUAUGAAGCAAUAAAUGUAACAAAAGUCUGUUUUGAAUUGUGAUAUGUCCAGUAAUGCCUCAUAACCCCAAUCUGGCGACGAUACGGGUUAGGGGUGUUACAGGCGUCGUUUUGGGGGCCCGACCCGAUGGCCCUACCCAAAGCCUCAGGAUCCGAGUGUUUUUGGACUAUGGUAUAAUUUCAACCCUAGUCCUUCCGCUUUUCAAGCGGUUUACAAUUGGGUCCUAAUCCUUUUCUUUUAAUUUUUAGAAAUUAUACCACAUGAUUUUCGUGUGUUUCAAUUUAGUCAUUGGUUCGCUGAUCUCCUGGAGAAGGGACACGUGUUCGGAGGAUCGAGCUAUUUGCUUAUUUGGUCCUCGCUUGUUUUCACGCUUUUCAUUUUAGUCUUUUAUUUAUUUACUUUAUCUUAAUUUAUCCUUUAAAUUUAAUUUGGGUUACGAUUAAGUCCUUCAUUUAAUUUAAUUCUUUUAUUUAUUUAUUUAUUUAUUUGCCUAUUUAUUAUUUCUUUACUUUUUGUUACAUUCAAAUUUUUUAUUUUAUUUUUUUUUCUUUCGGUCAUCUAUUCAUUUAUUUUAUUUUAUUAUCUAUUAUUAUUAUUAUCUAUUUAUGUAUUUUAUUAUAAAUUGCACCCCUAAUUUCAUUUACAUUUUAAUUUGGUCCUUUAUUUUCAAUAUUUUAUAAACUAUUUUCCUCUAUAUUUAUUUAUGUAUUUAUUUUCUUGUCCUUGUUUUAUUAAAAUUGGUAUUGUCUAGUAUAUAUUAUGUGAUUAUCUCCAUUAUAUGUAUUAUGAAUUGUUUAUUAGUAUAUUCAUAUUAUUGUCAUUUAUUAGCACGACAUUUUAUUCGUAUAUCAUCAUUUCAUUUUCUACAUUACCAUUUUAUCUUAUUUCGUUAAAAUCACGUCAUGAAUCACGUUUAAACAUAUUUAUCUAUAGUUGUUUUUAUACUAUACCCCAAAUAAGAUAAAUAUCCAUCGUUUUAAAUUUUACAUUUGUUAUUAUUAAAAAAGAAAAUUUUUAAAAUAGGCAAUAUUUCGUAUUUAGAGAUUUGAAGAGUCAUGCCCUAAUUUACGGGGGUUUUGAUUUUCUCGUUGAAUCUAAAAGACCAAUUAUCCUUUUAAAAUUAAAAUACGUGAGACUUAAUAUAAAAAAAAUAAAAGACAAGCUUAUUUUCGAGAAUUUCGAGCCGUCGUGUACUAACUUACGGGAUGCGACAUUUUUGUUACCUCGAGAUAAGAAAACUUUUACAUAUUUUGAUCUAUUUAAGGGAUUUUACUUUAAAAAAUAUAUACAUUGGCUGGCUAUAGUUGAUUGACUUGCUCCAAAAUGUCCUGCACCAAGUGUGACAGGUUGAGAUGGGAUGAUCCUCCAUUUUCUACUGCUUUUGUCGCCAUUUCCGCAAGUUCUCGAGCUCUCAUUCUCCUCUUUUCGCCUUCUUCUCCGCCAUUCAUCAACAUAUCUAUGGCUGUCACAAUCUGUUCUUUCCUAACCAGCACCCCAAGUUUCUCUUCUUCACCCCAUCUAACAGGGAUCUCAACCCCAACCCCAACACCUAUUUUUAGAAUUUCAACAAUCAGUUUCUCGUUAAAGAACUGUUCGGAGAAUUGUGGCCAUGUUAUCAUUGGCACCCCCGAGCAUACGGCUUCUAAAGUUGAAUUCCAACCGCAGUGAGUUAAGAACCCUCUUAUUGCAGGGUGGGAUAAAAUAAGAACUUGGGGAGCCCAACCCUUGAUUAUAAGUCCUCUCCCUUUAAUUUUCUCCUCAAAGUUAUGUUCUGAAAACCACUUCUCCAACUCAUCAUUAGCUCGUUGAUUACCUGUUUUGACUACCCAAACGAACGGUUGUUGUGAUGCUUCUAGACCCAACCCCAGCUCUAUCAAUUGUGCUGAAACGAGACGGCAUAGACUGCCUAAACAAGCGUAAAUAACUGACCUUGUUUUCAUAGAGUCGAGCCAUUUCAAGCAUUUGUUGUCAUUGAUUGAUGCUUUGUUGCCUCGUUCAAACUUGUCCAAGUUUAUUCUGUUGCAUAAAGAAACUGGUCCAAUGGCCCAAACCUUUUUCUUUAUUGCCUUCUGGUACUCGUUGACACAUCCAUGCUCGAGUUCAUUGAAGCUGUUUAUCACAACACCAUAAGCAUUCAUUUCAGCCUCUUGCAUCUUGUUGCGAGUAUCGUCCAAGUCAGGCAAGCUAACAAAGGUACCGGGAAGCUGAGCCCUUGUUAUCUCCACUUUUUGUGGCAAUCCUGGAACCCGAAAGCGCUCCGAGUCCGAGGCAACGAAAAGAUGAGCCUUGUGUAGCUUCACAUUGUGAGAGCUCAACAAUGAAAAGCAGCCCAUCCCAUGAAAAACAAUCCUGGGAAUGUUAAACUUCUGAGCGGUUUCUGAGGUCCAGGAAAGACACUUGUCUGAUAUUAUGCAGCUUGGUUGCGGCUUUUGCUGUUCCAGGAAUUGUUCCAAUGGUUCUCGCCACAAAUCAAGUGCAUUGUAGAACUUUUUCAAUAGGUCCCUGGAACAUAAAGUGUCGAGAUUCUCGCAUCCAAUUGGAAGUCCCACUUCUUGGCAUGGAAAUGGAAUUUUCACUAGCCGAACGCGGAGCCCUGACUCAGAAGCUCGUUCGAUGACUGUGUCGAAUCUCGACGCAUUUCGGGGAGUAGUGAUCAAGCUUACGAUCACCCCUCGAUCUGCAAGAAGCCGAGCCAUGUCAACCAUCGGAAUCAUAUGACCUUGUGCCAUCAGCGGGAUUAACACAAAGUGUAGCUGCUUGGCCGUCACGGAAGCCAUAUAGUCUUUAGAAAUAUUGGAAACAAACAACGGAUGCCAAGGAUGGAUCGAUUAGGCCUAAUAAAAAGCUUAAACGUAUUUGCAGGAGGAUUGGCACCAAUUGCAAGACUUAUAAGGUGAGCCCGAGUUUGAAUUAUUCCGAAAAAGAAAACAGCACUUUUUUUAGUAUGUCAAAAAAAACAUCUACCUUCUUAUAAUUUUCUAAUCUAAUAAAAUUAAUUAAAAUUGACUUGGAUUUUCAAUUGAUUUAAAAAGUCUAUACCCAACCUUGUGCAGCACAUGAUUUUAAUUACCCAACUCCACGGUAACAUAUGGUUUUAAGCCAUAAUCAUGGUACCCAGUAUUGGUUGGUUGGGUUAUUUAGGGUCGAUAUUUCUUUUAUCUAGAUGAGUUUUGAUGUUGACAGGAUUUCCAGAAAUCACACAAUGUUCAAACAAUUACAAUCAGUGGUGACAAGUUUUCACCGCUGUUUCCAUUGAUUUACUUUUUUUUUUUUAAUUUUCUUCAACAAGCCUUUUACUCGUUCAGGGCUUUCUUAUAUUAAUUACUUGUAUUGUUAGAAUUUCAUAAAAUUGUCGUUAUUACAGCAAAAUGUUUUAAACAAUCCUGCCUAAUUUUAUCUUUAAAAAAUAGAUUAAACUAGUGUUUUUAUCUCACAUAUAAAUCAAUCUUGAAGCUUGACAUAUAUAAACUUUUUUCCAUUUUUGCUUUAAAAACAUUGCUAUAGUAGCUUUUUCCUAACCUAAUAACCAACAACCGAAGUUUAUCAAAAUGAUUUGUCGAAUUUAAAGAAGACAAUGAAAAUGUUCUUGAGAUUUUCGGUAAAGUCAAAGAGAAAAUAGAAAAUGAAAUCACGAAGGAAAGGGCUAAGGAGGAAAUAAUAGGGCAAGACAAUAGUUUUGUUGAGUCUAUACAUAUUAAUUUUAUAUUUACUCCAAAUAACUUUGAGUUUGAUGAAAAAUCGAGGGUACUAGAAUUUCUUCCAUGAAUUUUUUACUUUUAUUGUAUUGGAAUUAUAGUGAGUUUAAGAAUGGUUGGUUAAAUAUUUGAAGGGGAAUCAACACUCUAAAAUUGUAUUAGCUUUUAAUUUGUGCCAAAUGUUAGAUUUUACUAAGUCAAGCCAUUAUUCGAAUCUUUCGAUAAUAAAAUAACAUUUAAGAACGUCUAGCUAAAGACGUUAAAAAAAAAAAAAGCUUACAAAGACGCAACUUCAUAAUUAACUAAUAUUUUUAUUUAUAUAUUUUUCAUUGCAUUGCAUAUAGAAUACAUCUCUAAGUAGUAUAGCAUGUUAAUUCAUUUGCAUUUCAUUUCAUUUUUAUUUUUAGUGUUUGAUUUGUGUAAGUCUAAGUUGAAAGAGCGAGUCCAGCAACAAAUGAAAUCUCAAGGUUGGAUCGGGCGAAAAGGACAAUUUUAUAGUUUAUUCUUAUUUAAUAUUUUUAAAAAAUUAUAAUUUUAUUAUCUAUAUUUUAUUCCUCUUGAAAAAAAAUUUAUGCAUUCAUUUAUUUCAAAACAAAGCCCAGAAACAACAAACGGGCUAUACAGUCAAAAUGAGCCUUCCCAAUAAGCCCAAUAACCCAGCAGCAAGAGUUUGCUCUAGAAACGUCCAUAUGAACAGCCUCAAAAAUUAAUCAGCAAAACUCCUGAAAAACAACUACAACUGGAGUAAAAGCCCCUCUUUAAUUUUUCGUUCCUUUUCCAGAAACGUUAAAAAACUCUCCAGCUCCCUUUCUUCUCCAAACUCUCCUCCUUCAGAUUACUACAUCGGAGCAAAGGAAUCUCAUUCUGGCAACACCACCCCCCGCCGGUCUCUUUCCACUGCCUCUUCUGCAUAUCCAGUUACUCCGUUUCUCAUAAAUCUUUGUUCCCCGUUCUUCAACCCUUCUGUGGCUAACAGAUGGGCUACUCCAUUCAUCGGUCAGUGGUCGUGCUUGAACUUGCAGGUUUGGAAACCUUUUUGGAAACCUCCAUCCGAUAACCAAAUCCGAACAACAUAUAUUGUUGACUAAGUUUGAACUUAAAAAUGAACAGAAAGACAAUAGCAGGGCAAUAUAAUUAGACCUUCUUUAUUGGUAAUACAACAAGAUUUUGAAUCAUUGUAAAUGAACAAGUUACUAAUGAAUUUGUGACCUUCUGGUCUCAUGCUACAUCUGGACCAGCUAUGGUUUCCUGUUGCUUGAUAUCUUCAAUCAGUAGUGCAAUGUUAAGAUAAGAAGACCCUCCUUCUUCAACAGCUUUCUUCGCCAUCUCAGCUAGCUUUCUUGCCCUUUCCCUUCUCUCUUCUCCUUCCUUUCCUUCAUCCAUUAAACUCUCAACAGCUUUUUUAAUAUCUUCACUCUUCACCAGCACCCCAUAUUUAUCUUCCUCCCCCAUAUGCACCACAAAUUCCACACCAACUCUAACACCAACUUUCAGUACUUGCACAAGGUGCUUCUCGUUAAAGAACUGCUCGGCAAACAAGGGCCAUGUUAUCAUUGGCACCCCACAACUGAUUCCUUCAAGUGUGGAAUUCCACCCACAGUGUGUCAAAAAUCCCCCAACGGAGGGGUGUGAUAAAAUUAACAGUUGCGGUGCCCAGCCUCUUAUCAAAAGGCCUCUUCCUUUUACCCUUUCUUCGAAUCCAUCUUCGGCUAACCAUUUUUCUAUUUCUUCUCUUUUAUAUCCUCCUCUAAUAACCCAAAUGAAAGGUUUAUUUGAUGCUUCCAAGGCGAAACCCAGUUCCAUUAACUGAGGAGGUGUUAAACGGUUGAGGCUUCCAAAGCAAACAUAGAUUACUGAGCUUGCAAACCAUGAAUCAAGCCAUUUCAAGCAUUGGUUUUCAUCUGUUAGAGCCUCGUUACCUCUUUUAGCUUUAUCAAUGUUAUCCCUGUUGCAUAAUGACGCAGGACCUACGCACCACACUUUAUGUUCUUUGAUCUUUUGAUAUGAUUUCGCAUAUUCGGCUUCCAACUCCUCGAAGCUGUUUACUAUUGAUCCGUAACCUCCUUCUUCAGCUGCUAUUAUCUUCUUACUAAGCUCUUUCAUGUUUGAUCUUGGAUUGAGGUUUCCAGGUAACUGCCCUAUAGUGAAUUCGAUUUGAUCGGGCAGUCCCGGCACAGCAAAAGGCUCUCCUUCGGAGACACAUUCAUGGACCUUGGAAGUGCUUAUGUUAUGACUGCACAAAUGAGUGAAACAGCUUUUUCCAUCAAAUAAAAUCCUUGGAAUCUGAAGCUUGGAGGCGAUUUCACCCAUCCAAGUGAAGUGCUUAUCAUGUAUUAGGCAGUUUGGACAAGGCUUUAGCUCACGUAAUAGCUUCUCCAGUGGCACCUGCAGCAUGCUCAUUGCAGCAUGGAAGUUGCUCAUGAGGUCCAUGGAUGGGAGAUUGUCGACUGUUUCACACCCAUCUGGCAAACCGGCCUCUGCAGCCGGGAAUCGAAGUUCAAGAACUGAGAUGGAUAGCUUGGAUUCAAUGUCGCGAUUGACGCCUGCACUAAAACGAGCAGCAUUCUGAGGUGUGGUAAUUAUAGUAACGAUUACAUUACGGUCAGCCAAUAGCCUGCCUAUGUCUAUCAAGGGAAGAAGGUGCCCUUGGCACAUAAAGGGUAUCAAUACGAAAUGAGGUUUGGUAGAGUUCAAGGCCAUUGCUAAUUGGAGAUUUUAAGGAUGGCAGAUAACUUAUCAGGCAAAUAUGGUUUUAUUUUUGUUGGUUCUUUCAUCAGCUCAUUUUUGCUGUUAUAUUUAUACAUGGUUUAAUAGUUUGCAGAUGCGUAAUGGAAUUGAUUUUGAGUUUGACUGAUUCAUAAAUGCCAACUGAGUACUUUUACUUCCGUUCUACUUGAAUUUCGCCUUGGAUGUUCAACAUGCCAUUGUCAAAGGUUUACAAACACACGACAACAACUAAUAUGAAUGAAAAGUAAAACGUAGCUAGCAAACAGGCAUCCAGAUAAUAAUAAGUUCAAUAAAAACAAUUGGAUUUCUAUUAUCAUCUUUAACUAAAAACAAUUGAAAUUAAAAGAGAUGCAUCAGAUUAAUCUUACAAAUUUCAUAAUCUAGUAUACUUUAAAAAAACCUAAAAAUUUUGACCUUAGUCCAAUGGAUCCAUACCAUUAUUGUAUUUAAAUUCUAAUCUCAACAUUGUCUAUAGGAACCCAAUUUUGCCCGGGCCCAAUAAUAAAACAAAACCAAAUAAUCGAAUAUGGCUUCUUUCUGAAACCGAAAUAGUCGAAUAUCUAUUUCAAAAAUUAAAAAAACGAGAUUUAAGUAACAAACAAAUGGCUUUUAUUCUUGUCCUCGAGGAUGUAAGGCAUUGUGUCCUAAUUUACAAGACAUAUCAUUUCUUCUCGAUUAACCUGAAAUAAGCCCUUUUCGCAAAAAUUAGUUUAAUUAAGUAAUGUCUUAAUACAAAAAGGGAUCGUAUUUUAAAUUCUCUUCAAAUUUUCAAUUCUUGAUACUAAGACAUUGCUUAAUCAAUUAGGUACCAAUUUUGGGUGUAACGAGAAUGUUAAUCCUUCCUCGUGCGUAACCAACUCCCGAACUCUCUUUUUGAAUUUGUAAGACUGAAUAUUAUCGUUUUAACAAAUCUAAUAUUUUACUAAAAUGGCCAAGUUUUAUGGUGAUCCAAUCACAUCUAAGUAAAAAAGUAGGUGAUUACUCCAUCUUCAUUUUCAAAAUAAAGUCAAUUUCAAAAAAGGUUUCCACAUUGUCAACAUCCUUUUUACUUUGCACCAAAAUAUAAAUAAAAAUGUCAGCAUCAUGGAUGUCGACACUCUUAAAAAACUGAAGGCAUUUAACAGUGGGAAAAUUAAGUUGGCUGAAAAUCGUACUGGUAAAUAUAAUUCAGCUUACGAUUUAGAAAAUGAAUUGAACAUCCUUUGGUACUGCUGUAAACUUCCGGGUAGUUUCUGCUAAGUCUAAAGGGAAAAUGGAAAAGUAGUUCUGACUUUUCUUAAAGGUAUCAUGAAUGCUUUGGACCCUUUACUAGAAUCUUCUUGAGUGCAGCAGUGGAGCUACAGUGGAAGGUAUUCGGUUUUAAUUGAAGCAUGAGAAAUAGAGUUUGAUCUAUGUUUAAGGACAUUAAUCAUCUUAUGGGGCUAAUUGAGAGAAGACCAUUAUAAACCGUAAGAAUGAUGUAUCACAAGCUGUAGAUUUCUAUGCGAAAGCCCUUUGCAGCCUGGUUGAGCAAAGCAAAAUAUAACCAAGUUGCCUGAUAUGGAUGUUUUAAACUCUGUUAGGCCUCAGCAUUCCUCCCACUGAUUUGUGACAUAUCUUUGAUUAGCCGUUUGACAAUGAGAUAAGGAGAUCCCUUGUUUUCAAAUGCCUCCUUUGCUAAAUUUAUAGCACUGAGUUCCAACCACAGUGAGUCAACAACCCUCCUAUUGCUGUAUGAGAUAAUAUCAAAGCUGCGGUGUCCAUCCAUGGAUUAAAAGGCCUCUCCCUUUGUUUCUCUCCUCAAAUUCUUCUUAGACAACCAUUUCUUGAACUCAUCUGAUUUAUAUCCUUCUCCUAGAAUCCGUAUGAAUGGCCUGUUUGAUGCUUCUAAGCCUAAGGCCAAUUCAAUCAGUUCCAAGGCGGACAUAGAGCUUUGUGGCCAUGAUUCAAGCCACUACAAGCACUGGACUACAUCAACCGAGGCUCUGUUUCCUCUCUGAGCCAUAUCUAAUGCGCCUUUGUUACAAAGUGUUAAGGGACUAAUAAACCAAAUCUGAUCCCCUUUUGCCUUCGUAUAUUCUUCAACUUAUCUUGAUUCCUAUUCGUCAAAAGAAUUAACCACGUAACUAUAUGAUACAUUAACCACGUAACUAUAUGAUACCAUCUCUCGUGUGUUCUUCCUUUUCUUUUAAAACCAUCGACCCUGGAUUAAGGUUAUUAGGUAGCAGCGCUUUAGUCAGCUCAAUCCUAUCUGGUAAACCAGGCACCAAAAAGGCCAACUGAAUUAGUUGCAUAGGUGCAAUGCAACCCUUGUGCUCCAAGGCAGACAUAAGUUACCGAGUUUUGUGGCCAUAAAUCAGGGGUGCACUUUUUUAUUUCUUUUGGUGAUAAAAGGUCUUAGUGUCUUACAUCAGACCAAAAUUACAUGGGCAGUAUCUAUCCCUCGUGUGACCCAGGGUAUACUGUAGUAACAGCACUGGGCUACACUUUGAUCGUGAAUCAAGGCAGACAUAAGAUUCCAAUUUAUUUUCAUUAAUCUUAUCCAUUCAACCAGAAAUCACUUUGUUUUGGCUGUAUAUGUCACUUAAAACCCAUUAUGAAUGCAUAAAAAGUGUUCCAUGGAUGUCAAUUGAUUAGAUGGGGCUCAUUCAGCUCACUUGAAUUAGUCUGAUUCGUAAAACAUGUGGAGUAUUUAAGGAAAAUUAGGGCUGCCUUGAUAAAUAUGGAAAGUAAUAUUAGAAUAUAUGUAAUUUGGUAAACUUUGAUUUUGUAAUCUUAGGGGAUUAUGUAAAUCUCUUAUGAAUCUCAAUUGUAGAUAGGUUAUAAUCUCGAUCGUCUAUAAAAUAAACUGUACUGUUGGAUUUGAGGAUGACGGAUCCGUGUAUCCAUUCUAAAUCUGUGUCAAGUUAAUUGGGUUAAAAAUGUGUAAAUUGAUUAAACAGUAAAUGAAAUGAAGUGUGAACUUUUAUAGUAUGCAAAUUGAAUUGAGAACAAGCCCUAAGGACCGAUCGAGUUUUGAUGAGCUUAUAGUCUCGAAAAUGAUUGAAUUAGUAACAUGGAAUUGUGUUUAAUGGGUUCAAAUGAGUGAAUUAUACUUGAAGAAGUGAAUGAUAUGUUUAGACAUGCCUAUGAUGUAAUAAGUUGCAAAGAUGAUUAUGUUUAAAUUCAUGUGUAUAUAAAUUGUAGUUUUUGGUAUGAGGUGAAUGGUUGACAUGUACAAUUUGGUGAAAGCAUGUUUAUAUGAAACUAAGGUGCUUGAUGGAAUGAAAUUAGGUUAGAAAUUAAAUAUGUGCAUUACAUAAACUUGUUUAUAUUGCUUGAAUUGUAGAAAAUACCAUUGAGUGUUUUAUUUAGUGUAUAGUUUUAUUUUUUUCCAUGCGUAAGUAUAGUAGCUUUCCGGUUGUGAGAGCGGUUGGUCCAAUAUCCUAAAAGCAAAUUCCCGACUUACCAAAGUUUGUUAAGUUAUGUUUUGGUAUUGAAUUGAGCAUGUACCUAAGUUGGGUUGUUUUGGAAAGUUUGUUAAGUUAUGUUUUGGUAUUGAAUUGAGCAUGUACCUAAGUUGGGUUGUUUUGGUAUUAAGCUAUGUUAAUUGCCCUUUUUGCAUAAGAUAUUGAUGUAUGAAUUGAUUAAGUUGUUGGUAUGUUUAAGUGACUGAUGAAUAUGUGUUAAUAUGAUAUGAAUCCCAAAGAUGUUAAUGAUCUUAGUGAAUUUGGUAGGACUACUUAUGUUUUGAUUGAAUGGAAUUAGAAGCUAGCUUAUGAGAAAUGAGGCUUUUGUGUAUCGUCGAGUAAGGUUUAAACAUUCAUGUUUGAGUAUUGAAAUUGGCAUGAGCAAGUUGAAUAUGGAAUAAGAUGUGUAUGUAUUUGGUGGAUGGAUACUUUUGCAGGUCAAGAAUAUUAGAAAUUGCAAAAAUAGUGUGUGAUGUCGCAACAUCAAACGUAUGUCAUCACGACGAAGGUUAGGCUCCAGGCUACAUCGAGAUGAGGAACCCCGUCGUCCCGGUGAGGUUAAGUCAGUAUGUCACGAAGUGACGAGGAAUUCCAUCACGUCGCAAUGUCAAUCUUGAAAAUUGAAUUUUUUACAAUUCAGUCUUGAUUUGAUCUCAAGUUAACUUUAAGGCUUUCAUAAACUCGUAUAAGACCCAAGAAUGAUUAUAUAUUGUAUUGUUUGUUUAUAAUUCUUAAGUUAAUGCUUGAUGGUGUAAAUUGUAUUUAAUUUGAUAUUAGUUGUUCCGGCAAUGAAUGUAGCAUCUCGUAACUCAGACCUGACGACCAAAUCUAUAACAUCCACGUUUUAACUCGGGGUUAGGUAUCGGGUCAAGAAUUAGUAUAAAAUUUUUGAAAUAUAAUAAAUAGAAAUUUUGAGUAUUAAAUUAGGAAGUAUAUAGAUCCAAUAAGAAAUUAAAAAAAUACUCUUUAUAUAGGAAAUUUUAAAAUAGAUACAUUAAUUUAGUUGAAAGAAUAAAGAAAUUGUUGUAGCAAAAGUAGGAAUAUUAAGUUAUGAGAUAUAUAAUAGUAGAGGAAAGGAAGGAAUGAUUAAAAAGAAAUUUAACCAAAGUGUGAUAUGAGUCAUCCUAGGAAAUAUGAAAGAUGAGGCAGGACAAAGUGGUAAUUAGCCAAGUAAAUAUUUAUUAGAUGUAAUGAUGAUGGGUAAAAAUAUAUAAAAAUAGAUGGCUUAAGGACUUAUUAGUAAUUUGACCAUUUUAAUUAAAAAUGUGAAAUAUUUUAGUGGAAUGGUGUAGAAAAGUGAAGAAAAGAUGAAAGAUGUAUCUUUUCUCAAACACCAAACCGUCACUACUUCUUCUCCCCCCAACUUCCAUCCAACUUUUCUUUUAAUUCCCUUCAUGUCUUUCACCAUUGUUGAACCAUCCAAGCUUCAAACCUUCAUUUUUCUUUGAAAUUUCCUUAGUAAAAAUUAAAGAGGCUAGCGAACAACUUUAUUUCAUGAGAAAAUUUCCAUAGAUGGGUUAAAAGAGAGAAAAAUAUGAGUUAGGUUUUUGGGUGGUCAAAGAGCUGAGGUAAGAAAGGAUGAAAUUAUCAUUAUAUACAUGUUUAUUUAUAUUAAAUAGUAUAAGAAAGUCACUUGGUUAUAGUUUUAACAUAUAAAUGUUAUGUGUUUGAUAUGAAAAUUGAAGAGAAAGAAAAGAAAGGAGAAGAUAAAAUUGAAGGAAAAGGAAAGGAGAAGAUCAAGGAGUGAAGGAAAACAAAAUACAUAUCUCAACCUUUUUGUUAUAAGUACUACAAUAUUUUAACUUAUUUUUAUUUAAAUGCUUUUACUAUGAUAUGAAAUUACUUAAAAUAGGCAUGUUAAAUAUAUAUAUAUAUAUAUAUAUAUAUAUAUAUUUGUAAAUAGAUAAUAAAUGGGGAUUAUGAAAUUAUGAAAAUUGUAAAGAAAAUUAUAGGUGGAAAAUAUUAAAUGGUAUAUUUGUUUGAACACAAAUUAAUGAUGUUGCGGUAAAAAUAUGUGUAACAACUUGAUUUUCAGUCGUGUCAAAAUAGUGGUUCGCGGCCACUAAAUCCGGUGAGUAAGCUCGUAAAUUUUAUUAUUUAAUAUUUACGAGUCAUAUAUGGUUUUAAAAAAAAUUUUGAAUUAGUAAUUUAUGGGUUAUAAUGAAUUAUUAAGUUCGAGUGAUAAAAUCUUGGUUCAAGUGAUUUUAGAAAAUGAGGUAUUAGGACCUUGUUUCUAUAAACCGGGCCGUAAAUAUUUUUAUAAAUAUUUACGGAAUGUCAUUAAGGUUGUAUUAAAGUUUCGUUGAAAAAUUUUAACGUUUCGAUAAUUAAUUAAUUAAAAAUGACUAAAUUAAAAAAAAUGUGUAAAACUUGCUAAUUAUAAUAAUAAAGUGACUAAAUGGCUUGACUAAUAAAUAAGGAAGAACUUAAGUGAUAAAUAUGCCUAAAUUAAUGGAUGAGGCAGCAUAUAAAUAAAAUAAUAAUAAAAUAAAAAGAAACAAUGGUAAAAUUGUAAUUAUAUUGAAAUUAAAUAAGACAAAUUGAAAUUUAAAAGCAUUCUAGGCUUUUCUUCUCCAAUUUUCGGUUUAAAAUAGACAAGGGAGAGAGCUCAAGUUGGUUUUUAAUAUUUUUGCCUCAUAUCAAGAUUGGGUGGAAAAUCGAGAAAAAUAAAAAAUUACCAAAAUACCCUUAAAUCUUAGUAUUUCUGUAAUUUAUCCAGGUAAGUUCAUACGGUUAAAAAUUAAUAUUUGUAUUAAUUUGAUGAAUGGUAUUAUGCAGUUAUUUUAUUGUUGAAAAUGAAUUAUUGUUGGAAUUAUAAUAUUGAAUUUAAUAUUCGGGUUGAAUGGAAAACGAGAUUUGAGUACAUUCGUUAUUUGGCGUAUGACGCUAUUGAAGGAAAAUAUCGACAAAUUACCCAAGUAAACCGGAGUUCAACAUUUGUUGCGGACUUUCGUGUUUUACUUUUUGUUUAGCACUUUCGAGCUUCCGUUCAGCUCUCACGAGCUUCUGUUAAACUCUUAUGAGUUUCUGUUUAGCUCUUACGAGUUUCUGUUCAGCUCUUACAAGCUUCUGUUCAGCUCUUACAAGCUUCUGUUCAGCUUUCGAGCUUCUGAUUGGCGUAUUUGGGAGGCCCAGCUCUUAUGAGCUUCUGUUAACGAUGUACUCUUAUCCUUAAGUCGUUCUUCGAUUUGGGAAAGUCUUAGUAAAGUGAUUUAUUUAAUGAAUUUGAAAGUUAUCCAAUGAUAUUCUAAAUGGUUCAACGGGCAAUGUUCUGUUACGAGACGAUAUGAGUUUGAUACGAACUAAUAUAGGUAUAUACAUGAAAUACAUGUAUAUAUUGAUAUAUACAUGAAAUACAUGGAAAUGAUGGCACAUGAUAUAUUGAUAUAUUGAUAUAUUGAAAUGGAUGAUAUAUGUAUAUGAAGAAAUGGUAAGAGAAUGAUAUGUAUCAUGACAUGAACAUGUACGAAUAUCUUUGAUAUAUUGAUACAUGGAAAUUAUGUAAGUUGAGACGAGUAAUAAAAUCAAGUGUGACAUGUUGAGAUAAUAAGGUUAUCGAUGUUGAAUUUAUAUGAAAUAUGUUCAAGUUUGCUAACAAGUGUUGUUGUUUGAUGCUUAGGCAAAUGCCAAGCUGUUGGUUGAAUGGUAAUAUGUUUAAUUAUAAGUUGUAUUGAAAUGGUAAGUGUUUAAAUGAAAAUAUGCUUGAGCUCAUGAAAGAUUGGCAAGGUUUAAAGUUAUUUAAAAUCCUACUAUGCUAGGAAUGAUAUGUAUAAGUGAUGUUGGGGAUUUAUUCACCUUAUGAGUUGUUGAAUAUAGCUUCAUGAAUCUUGCAGUAUCGAUAUUGGAUUAUUCUUGAUAUGUAUAAAUUUUAUUUUUGAAAUGAAUUGAUAUGAUUAAAGUUUAUACGAGCUUACUAAGCAUUCAUUGCUUACGUAUUUGUUUUUCUUUACUUUUCAGAUUAUCGGAAGCUUGAUUGGGUUGGAAGCUUGUCAGAGUUAUCUCACACUAUCCAUCGAUUUUAUCGGUCUUUUUGGAUGUUUUGAUUUUGGUUAUAAUGGCAUGUAUAGGUUAUUUUGGCUAAAUGUUAGCCUAUAUGUAUUUUGUGGAGAUUAGCCACUUAUUUGGCUUAUGUUUUGGCACAUUUUGGUUUGUGCAUAUUUGCCUUAUGUGGUGAUGUGUGGUUUAGUUUAUGGUUGUAUAAUGAAAGGUAAAGUGUUAGCUAAAUGUGCAUUUAUAUACAUGUGUUUUAGUAUGCGAUGAGUUGAUCAUAAAUCGGUACCUUGAUAUGUAAGGUAUAUAUAACUAAAUAUGAUAGUAUUUGAAAUACAUUUUGGCAUCAAAUGGUAUGUUUUGGUAGGUAAGUGACUUAAUUUAAAAUAAUGCAAAUUAGUUUGGUAAACCUUGGGUACAAAUAUGUAUAUAAGUUAUACAUAUGAAUAUAUUAUAUACAUGAGUACACAUGUUAUAAUCUGUCAUCUGAGGUGCCUAAAGGCAUAUUGGUUGUGUGUGAAGAUAUUAUAUGUGAAAAGCUUGAUUUUAGUUUGUUUUAGUGCCUAAUUUUGGCUUGUUUAUAUGCACAAUGUUAACUGAAGGUACAUGCCUUUUUGGGUGAGAAAAAUGGCUUAUAAAAUAGCCUAUUUUCAUCCACACGGGCAGAGACACAAGCGUAUGUCUCAGCUGUGUGUGACACACGGCCAGGUGACACGGCUGUGUGUCCCUUGUAUCUUUUAAAAAGAAUACAAGUCAAUGAGUUACACGGCCUUAGACACGUGCGCGUCUCUUGACCAUGUGAGUCACACGGCCGUGUGACCCCUGCAGUGUUGAAAAUAUUAAAUGUUUCUGAAAUUUUUUUUGAGUUUCCUAUUUAGUCCCGAUUUGUUUCUAAUGUGUAUUUUGGGCCUCGAGGGCUCGUAUAAGGGACAAUAUGUUUAAUUUUGAUUGGUUUCUAACUUGUAUAUUGUGUGAUGUGAAAUGUUUGAAAUUUCUGUCUAUUUGUUCUGUAAACUUCGGUAAUGCUCCAUAACCCUGUUCUAGCCACGGGCUCGGGUUAGGGGUGGUACAAUAUGUGUGAAAAUGGUUUAAUAUUUGUAAUUUGUGAAAUGAGGACUAAAUUGUAGAUGAUGGAGAAAUGUCAAAUCUUUUUUGAAAUACUUGUGUAAAGUAUUUAAAUGUAUGAAAUUCAACUUUUACAGCCAAGUAGACAAAAAUUAGAACUACUAGGAUAUUAGUGGCAUGGCAUUAAGGGACCCUAGUGCGCUCUCCAAUUAUUAGCACAUUAGUGCUCUCUGUUUAGCACAUUCGUGCUCUCUGUUUAAUAAUGCAUAAUAGUGCACCUUUGUAUUUGUUUUGUAUAUCCGAUGUGUUCUAUAAAGUCUACUAUGGGCUAACAAUAUGAGUUGUGAACAAAAGUGAAUCAUCAAUGUGUUGAGGUAAGUUUGAUAACUUACAAAAGGUAAGUUAAAUUUCAUUAAAGUAAGGUAUAGUUAAAGAAACUUGUAUGUGUGUAAAUAUGUAUUAGUUGAAUAAUUUUAAAAUAUUAUGUUAUGUUUCAUUUAUCUAUUUAAUUCUUGUAGUGCUUACUAAGCUUUCAUCAGCUUAACGCGUUUAUUUUUAACGCGUAGGUACAAUUAGACUCAAAGAGGUAGAGUCGGGUUAGGAGAUCUCUCAUCUCAUCACAUCCUCAAAAGCUUCAAGAGUAGGUACCAUAUUUUGAAUUAAAAUGGCAUAUACAUAGGUAGACCAAAUGUGUUCCCAUGUGUUAGGGACUAAAAUGCAAACUCUUGAAACUCUAACUAUUUUGGUUUACUUGAAGUAUUUUGGUCUAUAUAAAAUGAAUUAGUGAAACUAUAAGUAUGUUUGCAAAUGUGGUUUGGUAAUAUGUUGAUAUUGAUUGAUUUUGAAGUGGUUUUAAGUAGUUUAAUACAUUUUGAAUUGGUCUUGAGUAUUGAGAAGAAUCUAUAUAAAUUGCAAGGGGUUUAGUGAACUUUUAAACUGAUUUUUGCCAAAUUUUACCCAAGGUAUCGAUACCAAGGGUAUAGGCAUCGAUACUGAAGUUUUGAAAUACAAAAUUACUGAAACAAAAUGUGAUUUUGGUAUCGAUAUUUUUCCCCUUAUUUUGAGUAAAAACAAUGUUAAAACCAUUUCUAAACAUAUUCUAACAUCCAAUAAUGACCCCACACAUUUAUAUUAAUAAUUUUUGGAUUAAUUAAGUUAAAAUACUAUGUAUAAAUGUUUAAAUUAAACAGUAUCUAGCCAAAAUAGUUUUGGCACCAAAUGUAAUAGUCUUAUACCAGGUCGAUACAAUCGGACCAGGUGUAGGAGUGUUAUAGGGUUGAAUAUUGGACAUUCCAACACUAAAAAAUUAAAAAUUUUCCUCUAAUAUCUCAAAUCAAUAUUGUGAAUGUAAAGACAAUGACCCCCAUCAUUCUAAAAUUAAAGUUUACCUUUGCGGAAAGAAAUCAAAGUUUUGUAUUGGUUGGAUAAAUACUAAAUCACACCCUUUUUUCCUUUAGCUCCCAUUCAAAGCUUUAUCCAUUUUUUACUUUGAAUAAAAACCUACCAUAACACUAGUAACUAAUAACCUCACAAAUUGUUAAAAAAAAAACUUCACACUUUCUUUCACGCUCAUGAAAUGGGGCUUCUUUUUUCCAUUCUCUUUGCUAGUUGUUUUUUCUUUACAACUCCAUUUGUUGGCUGCACUCAAAGCUUGUUGCAAGUUUCCCAACCCACAACAGUUCUUGAUGUUGUUGAAGCUCUAGUGAAGACCUAAAAGGUGUGUUUGGUUGAGUGGAAAGUGGAGGAAUGGGAAGAAAGAGCGGAAAGGUGAAAAGAAAAUGAAUUUGAGAUGUGUUUGGUAGGGAAGAAAAGUGAGAGGAAAGAAAAUAGGAUGCAUGACCAUUUUUCAUCUUGAAAAUAGUAGAAAAGUGUAUGUUAGUUUAAAUUAUGUAUUUUUCAAUUGUUCUCUUUCUUUUCUUUCCAUUUUCCUUACCAAAUACACCUAAGGAAAGAAAAAUUAGGUUUUUCAUCAUUCCAAUUUUCUUUCUACUUUAUCAAGCAAAGUCAAAAUGUCCUCUCAUUUGGCCUUAGAAGAAACUAACUUUUAGCCCACUAAACCAAAGCCUCUAAGUUUAAUCUCCAUAUUUAUUUCUAUCUUUGCUCUCCUCUUAGAUUCAUCCAAGAGUUGCUAUUCAUAAAAGCUCUCAAAUUGAUUACACAUAAUUAAUCUUAUCUUGACUUGAGCAUGACUCAACUCAAGUCAGCUCACUUCGAUUCGGUUGGAUUUACCUGUCAAUAGUAUUUCAAGAUCAAAUAUCAAAUCAAUUGAUACGAGGUUGAAGUAUGGAGCACAGGAUUUGAAAACUUCUUCAAAUUUGAGAAUUGAAAGAAUUAAAAGGAAAAUUAAGUUUUUUUUUUAAGAAAGGAGAAAAAAAUGAAAGUUCUUUUACAAUUAAGAUUAAAUUGUGAUAAAAGAGUAAAUGUUGAGAGUUAAUUUUUCGUCAAAGUUAAGAUCAAACUAAUAUAAUAUAUAAAUAUUUGAGGGUUAAAUUUGUUAUUAGUUAAAUUUCAAACUGAUCAUUCUCUUACCCGAGUAAUGAAAAUUAACAGAAGUAAACUAAAGAGGAAUAAACGUGAUUAAUUAGAUAAUUAUUUUUGAACUUUUUAUAAUUAGAGGUGAUAAGUGAUAAUUUUGGUUACAUUUUUUUUAUAAAUAAUUCUACUAUCAUCCAAGCAGCAGUUUAAAUCUGCUACGUCAAUACAGAACAAUACUAAAAAAUAAAAAUCACAAUAGCAAAAAUAGUUAUUGAAAAAUGCCCUUAUUAAAUACAUUCGCAGACGUGCAUUGUACACUGCUCUACAAUAGAUUUAAUCAAUGCCAAGUCACCUUCUAGUCUGCUACUUCGGUCUAAUUGUGUUUCAAACCAGAGUUGUAGAGUAUAUUGGGCUUUGCAUUAGCUAGCUCCAAACUUUGCUCACAUUCCUGCUGCUUUACAACUAUAUUUUUAGCUGUAAAAAUUAUUCCUCAACCUCCAACUACAGAUUUGAGAUGAGAAAUCCAAAACCUGAAUCGCUAUAUCAGAUUUAAAAAAAAAGUCUUUAUCAGUAAAAAAUAUCUCUAAUGAAGAAAAUGGUAAAAAAAAAAAAUUGAGGCUUAAAUAUCUUUACAAAAGAAAAGCGGUAAAAAAAUAUCACACAUAUUUAAGCAAGGGAGCAAGCUUGGAUUUGGUUUUUUUGACCAAAACGAAACUAAAUCGCCAUCGGAAGAAGAAAACAAAUUGAAAAAAAGGUAAAAGAAAGAAAUCAAGACAGGACAGAAAUGGAACAUGCCACGAAAUCAGUCCAGUUUCGGAUUCACAACAACAACAACUAACUAUUAAGAUUUCACUUUCCCUUUCUGAUUACUAAAGUGGAAAUUUCUUUUCGAUUCAAUAUUUGUUUUUGGUGAAGCACAAUUCAAUGGCUUCUUCGAGCUCCCUCGGGAGCUCAAUUCCGGCUCCAGGUACACUUCAAUUUCAGUAUUCCCCCCUUUUUAAUUACUACUGCUAUUAAUUUUCUUAUAAAUUGUUCUUUUGUUUUUUUGAAAAAAAAAAACAGAGGCCGUUCAAGUUCUCGUCUCAUCACUCGCGGAUGAAUCUCCCAUGGUGAGAGAAGCCUCCAUGGCUUCUCUUAAAGACAUCUCUCCUUUGUACGUUCUUUUUCUUUCUUUUUUUCUUUUUCUCAAAAAAGUUUAUAUAGUUCACUUUCUUUUUUACUGUAAUCUGAACUUCGAUUACUAAUUAGGAAUCCUCUUCUGGUGCUGGACUGUUGCUCCGCUGUUUCUCGAGGCGGCCGUAGGGUAAUAAUUGUCUUCUUCAUUUUCCCUUGUCGUAGAUUUAGAAAUUUUGAAUUGGAACUAAAAUUUAAAUUUUUUGGGUACUUAAUUGUAGAGAUUUGGUAAUAUGGCUGGAGUGUUUCAAGUAAUGGCAUUCGGAGUUCGAGCUUUAGAUAAAAACGACAUUGAUGCUUCUUAUAUUGGCAAGCUUGCCAAAAUUGCUACCGCUGAGAUUAUCUCCUCCAAGGUAUGUAUAUUUCUUGUUCCUUCUGUUGCGGUAGAGUUGAUAGCAUACAUUUAGAACUAGAAAACAUGUUCUCACCUCUCUGGAAUUUGGCACGAAUUAGGUUGCUAUACCAGCUUUUUGCACAGUUUCUUAGUAAGGGGUUCAAUUUUGGAUUGACUCUUAGGCUUUUAAAUCUGUUUCGUAUAAUGAGAGCAAAAAUUCACGCAUUGUUUUGCUUGUUCUCAUUGUUGAGUUAAUGUUUGAAUUAGUGGAUGAUCUUUCUAAGGGAUUUUGUAGCUUCUUUUUAUUGAUCAAAAUUACUUGGACCUUAAUUUAUUUCUAUUGCUUGCAUGAAAGAUUCACCAUCUGGUGUCUCCUUGGGCACUAGGAAACUAUAAAUUUAUUGAGUAUUGCCUGAAACUAUUGCUCUCUUUGGUACGUUGCUUAGUGAUCCAAUUCUUACAUGCUUUCUUGAGGCAAUUUAUUUUUCAUGGGUGAAAAUUCGUAGUUUUCAUGUUUUGCUCACUGUUAUAUAGGAACUCAAUGCAGAUUGGCAAAGGGCAGCAGCAAGUCUGCUUGUUGCAAUAGGCUCACAUCUGCCUGACCUUGUAAGUCUGUUGCUUGCAGUUAGUUCUCUUUUCUUUUACUUUUGCUACUUGAUAACGACGGUCCUAGCAUAUUAUUUACAAAAAUUAUAUUUCAAUUAAAAACCUUUCUAAAAUAAGCCCUCGAUUACUUGCAAGCGCACAAAAUUGUUGUCAAGUAAUAUAAAACGGAAGGAAUUCUGUUGAAUGGAGUAUUUCGAGAAUCAAAUCCCAAAGAGUUUGAGAUUCAAUAUUUGUUUUUGUUGUCAAGUAAUAUCAGAUACUAAUAUAAGAACUGAAUACUACAAGUUACGGUGCCUAGUCAAUUCAAUAGACAACUCAAUUAUUAACUCAGUUGACCAUUUCCAAAUUAACACCAACCGCUUUAAGAGUUUGAGACAUUGGCUUCAAAACGACUAAAGAAGCUAUGUCUAAAGAACAAUUGAAAUGGCAAUUGAAUUAACCAAAGGUGUGAAGAUGAUUGGCAAACUAAUUGGCUAAGGCCUCCAAAAUUAAUUAUUCUCAAGUGAAAUCAAGGUUGGAUCUAACUUCAGUUGGUCCUUGGAUUCCUAAGCUAAGGUUCUCUUGAUACUCUUAGACUCAAUUCCUCACCAGACAUUCCCAUGACCGUAGUUCUUGCUUCUAAGCUGAUUAACUCUAACUCUUUUGAUAUUAGACUUUAACCAAUUUAGUCACUCGAGGUAGCUCUUGCUUAUUCCCUAGCCAAAUUAAACCUAAAGGUUGUCAACUCUUAGAUAUAUUGAGCCUAAUUGAUUAAGCACAAUUCUAGAUUAGAUCAACCAUUAAAUCAAAUGAAUCACAUCAAUCCUUCAUCCCAAGCACAAUUAACGAGCCAAUCUCACCAAUUUAGCUCAUCAACACAAGAUCAAGAAUGGAAAACAUGAUAUAAAGCAUUAAAACAUGAGAUCAAGUAGGAAAAGAUAGAUCAAAGUUAAGAAAUGCUCAAAUCCAUGGAUGCUAUAACUCCUUACAUGGCAGUUCUUGAUCUCCUCAUCCAAAUGAAGAAUCAAUGCUCCAAUCAAUAGAAAAACUGAAAAUCUACUAAAAUUGAAGUGGAUUACAAAAGAAAUUCAAAGUGUUUACAAAUUCUAAAAGGAAAUUUAAAGAACCAGAGAAAAGUUGAGAGAAAAAUCCUAGAUCUAAAAUUUGAAUCUAAACUAAAGAAAAGAAAUGAGUUCUGCAAAAUCUGAUACAAUUCAAUUCAAUUCAAUUACAAGGCUAUUUAUUGGUGGAAAUCAAGGCUGGGUGAAAUGACCAAUAUAUAGCCUCACUGAAAACCAAAUCAAUCAAGGAAUGUCAAUGGUCAUUAGACUGUGUGUGGACGCCACCCUUGGUGUGUAGACUUUGAGCAGCCAAUGUUGGCUCUUCAGCUGCUCCUUGCUCAGCAUAUGUGCUAGUUGCUUGGCUUGAUGGUGUUCAUGGCUUGUGGAAACCAUCUUCUCACACUUGUUGAGGACAAUGAGCUCCAAGAGCAUGGUGUGUGCACGUUGAUGUUGGAGUGUGAACUCCAAGUCACUUAGCCAUUCUUGCGCAUUUGUUUCCUUGAUUGCUCUAUUGAAUUCCACCUACAAAAUGAACAUUAAAGCUCACAAGUAUCCUAUUGAAAUUAUUAAAACACUAACUAAAGGCAUUAAAAUGAAAUCACACAAAAGAACAUUAAAAACAUACUAAAAUGACACUAAAAACACACAAAAUACAUAGAUUCUAAAAUGAAAAAAAAUACAAAAUAACACUAAAAUGACUCAAAAUGCUAAAGAAAAAGCCAGAAUUAUGCACUAAAGUUAGUAAAUUAUAACUCUCUUUUGGAGAGUUAUCACUACUAAAGUUAGUAAAUUAUAACUCUCUUUUGGAGAGUUAUCACUACUACUUUAGUUUUCUGAAAUAUUCUCCUGUUUAUGAUGUUUAUCUGAAGAGGUGAGGGGACCAUCUCAAGUUCUUACAGAUUGGCAAAGGGGUGCAGUUUAUUUACUCCUCUUUUUCAAUUUCAUGCUUAACCAUCUCAAGUUAAUCAUAAUCAUGGUCUAUACUGGUUUGGCAGAUGAUGGAAGAAAUAUUUCUCCAUUUGUCAGGGCCAAGCUCAGCUUUGGCGGCUAUGAUUCAAAUACUUGCAGACUUUGCUUCUGCUGAUGGUAAUAACUUACCUUUGUGGUUCUUUUUGCUUUUUUGAACUUAAAUAAUCUGUGGAUUGUUGCAAUUUCUUUGUUUAACAAAUUUUUUUGUACUUUUCUUUGUUCAAUUCAAUCAAGCUUUGCAGUUCGCUCCGCGUUUGAAAGGCGUACUUUCUCGAGUUUUGCCUAUUCUUGGGAAUGUUAGAGAUGCCCAACGGCCAAUAUUUGCAAAUGGUAAUAUACGUGCUCUCUUUAUUUAUAGAAAAUUAAGUUUUUUGGUAAAGAGCAUGGAGUGACCUUGUUGAUUUCUCUUGAAAUCUUUUACUGUUUUAUGUUCCAGUCUUUCCUGGUAUCUUGAUUUCAUUUUCGUAUAGUUCGUUAUGUCUUUCAAAUCUGAUUGAAGUUCCCUUCUGUGUAGCUUGAACUUCAUGACCUUCAUGUACGUUUGAAAUUUAAUUAAUUGUUUACCUAUAUAAGAUUCUCUUCUCUCAUAUGAGAUAGCUGGCAAAAGGAGUCGGUUCAUUUGACACCAUUUUUUUUUCUGACGGUGUUUAUUAACUUAUCUCACUUUAUGUUGGUUUACCUCUUUCCAUGUUUUCCUGGUUUAAUGUUCAACCUUCUUUUUUUCAUUUAACUUAGAUGAUUAAUUUUGGAUAUAUGUUUCACAUGUCUUCUAUUGAUAGCUGACUAACCCAUGAUGAUAUGUUCUUCUUACAAUUCUAGCUUUUAAGUGCUGGUGUCAAGCUGUCUGGCAAUAUAACGUUGAUUUCCCUUCAAAUUCCCUGAUUGAUGGUGAUGUCAUGUGAGUUAUAGUAAUACAAAUUUCAUUGCUGCCAUUUUUUUUGACGCCUUAUAUAAUUUUCUGAUAAUUAAGGCCUAAAAAUAAAUCUUUUAUUUAUCGCAGGUCAUUUCUGAACUCUGCUUUUGAACUUUUGUUAAGAGUCUGGGCUGCUUCACGAGAUCUUAAGGUUUGCUAAGUCUAGAUAGUUGUUUAUACAUUCAUAUACUAAAACCUAAAUUAUAGAUAUUAAUAUAAUGUUAUCAUGUUCUUAUUGUUACUUCAUUUUGGAAAAACCCUCCACAUACUGGGUUAUACUCCCUUGUUUUUUUCUUAAUUCCUGUGUUCAACCAAGAGGAAAAAAAGGAACACUUAUAAAUUAUGCUAAGACUGCAAACUUCUUUAAGAAAAUUACGUAUGCAUGAAAAAUAUAUCAAACCUAUCACUUAUAUGUGUUUUACUUUUGUUUGUUAAUGAUCUAAAUGUUCUGUCUUGUUGCAUCCUGUUUUUGGAUAUAAAGCAAGUCUGUUGCUGUUGACUAUAUUCUUAUUUGAAUUAGGUUCGAGUAUCAUCUGUGGAAGCAUUAGGCCAAAUGGUUGGUCUUAUCACCCGCACGCAAUUAAAGACAGCUUUACCAAGGCUUAUCCCUACUAUAUUGGAGUUGUAAGAUUCAAAUUUAGUCUUUGGAGUUGCUUGUAGAGUUUUACAGUUUGCGCAAAUGAUAUUUACAACCAAACAAACUUCAUAUAUUUUUAAACUUGGACAUCAACAUGGACUAUAAUGUCUUUUUCUUUUAAUCAGGUGUAAAAAGGAUCAAGAUAUUGCACUUAUUGCAACCUCUAGUCUCUAUAAUCUCCUAAAUGUUUCCUUACUUUCGGAGACAGGCCCUCCUUUGCUUGAAUUUGAGGUAAAGCCCUUAUCACCCUUCUGUUAUUGUUUACUUGUAUUUGCUUACGUUAAUAUUUUCUCAUUGCUGUUAACAUUUAAUUACUGCUUUCUUAUGCAAAAACUUUCAAUGCUUUCUAGUGUAACAUCAUAAUUCUUCUUAGAUAUGGUAUAAGAACUUCAAGAAUUAUAUCUUGUUGCUUCCUUUUUCUCCUAAAAGCAAUGAUUUGGCUUGGCAGAAUCAAUGGAGUGUCCUAUAUUUGGAAAAUAUAUUUAAACUAUGCUGGAAUAUUUCUUUUUUCUCUCAGUGAUGAAUAUAGAUGCUAGCUAAAGAGAGGUUUGUCCGUCUGUUACUAUGAGGACUAGUCAGUCUUCUUCUUCUUCUUCUUCCAUUCUUUGACCUUUCUUGGAUGUUACCCACCCUUUCAGCUGUUAUUAAAAAUGGCUUUUUUUUUUUUUUAUCAAUAUCAGAAGAUGAAGUGUAAUAUUUAUUUUUUAAAAAGGAAAAACUUUUGAAAGUGUUAAGUGGUGUUAUCUAAUAUUGGUUUAAUUUUGGUUUGGUGGCAAAUUACUUUUAGAUUGGAUUCCAUAACACUGUAAGAGAGCUUAUGUUAUAUUUUUGUUGCUUUUUCUCUCAGUUCUUGCCCUAUUAUAUAGCCUCUAUGAUAAGCACGUGGGUUUAAUCACUGGUCUCAAUUUUAGAUUUUCCCUAAUGCCUAAGAUGAAAACAGGAGUGGAUUAUUAGUUGUUGUGUAUCACUGAUUUGUUGCCAUUCCACCCUUUCCUUUUUUUCCCUUCUUCUGUUCCACUAUUAUUAUUAUUAUUAUUAUUAUUAUUAUUAUUAUUAUUAUUAUUAUUAUUAUUUUUGCAUGUACCAUAUGGGCAUUUUUCUCUUGAAGGAUAUUUUUAUGUUGUCCUUUGCAGGAGCUCACAGUUAUAUUAUCAACACUCCUCCCUGUCAUCUGCAUGGAUAAUGACGGCAAAGAGCACUCAGAUUUUUCUGUGGGACUGAAGGUUAUUAAUCACUGCAAGGCCAUCUUUUGCUGCUAUUAAUACUUAUUACUUGAACACAACAAGUUUUAUUUCUUCUACUUGCUAUUCCAUUUCUUUUUCCACAUCAUAAGUUUUUAUACUUUGUGUUGCAGACAUACAAUGAAGUACAGCGCUGCUUUUUGACUGUUGGCUCUAUAUACCCCGAGGAUUUGUUUUCCUUUCUUCUGAAUGUGAGUAAAUGAAUACUUCAUUUUUGGUCCGGGAAGUUUGUAUCAUUGGGAAAGUGGCAAUUCAUAUUGAUACAGUAUCAAUGAUUUUGCUGUUUUAUUUCAUUGUUUGUUCAGUUAAAAGAUCUAGUUUGUUUUCUGAAUUGUGGUAAUAGCUAAUUAAUGUUUUGACGUACUUUUUUUUAACCAGAAAUGCAGAUUAAAGGAAGAGCCUUUAACUUUUGGUGCACUCUGUGUUUUGAAGCAUCUUUUGCCCAGGUUUAUUUCUUUAUUUUGUCUUAUAGUUUUGUUUAUUAGUUAUGUUUCACAACUUACUCGCAAUUCCAUUAAGGUCAUCUGAAGCUUGGCACAAUAAGAGGCCAUUGCUAGUGGAUGCUGUGAAGUCCUUGCUAGAUGAGCAAAGCUUAGGCAUUCGGAAGGCUCUCUCCGAGGUAUGUUGUUAGGUGGUUUUUUAUCUUAUCAUUCUAUCAAUCAAAAUAUAUGGUCUUAAUCUUACUGUUUUUUGUCCCGUUACUUUCAUGGUAGUUGAUUGUGGUGAUGGCUUCGCAUUGUUACUUAGUUGGGCCAACUGCAGAGUUGUUUGUCGAAUAUCUUGUACGCCACUGUGCUUUAUCAGAACAGGAUAGAAUUGAUCUUGAAAGCUCCCAGGUAAACUGUGGGUCUAGCUGUACUCACUACGGCAAAACAAAUUUGAUGUUUUACUUAACAAAUGUGACAAUUAAGUGUGUCAAAUGCUGAUUGUUUUUUGAAAAGAAAAAAAAAAUAGAUAUAUUGGAUUUGAAGGAAAGACAAUACAUUAAUGUCAAUAAAUUGAAUGAACAUCUUGUGAAGUGAAGUAAGUUCAUGCCAUCAUAAACUCUAGUUGUUGAUCAGUCAAACGGUCAAAUUUGACCAUUAAUUGCCAUAUUUUACUUGGAAACAUUAUCAGGGAUCAUUUAAAGUGUGAUAACGUACAAGUCAUGGUAUUAUUUAUCGUGUUAUUGUUUUCUCAGGCAAAGGUAGGAUUAAUUUGUCCAACCGAAUUAAGAGCAAUAUGUGAAAAAGGUCUUCUUCUUCUAACUAUCACGAUUCCUGAAAUGGAGGUAUAGAAUUCCUUCUUCAACCGUUAAACAUCUAUUGGCUGUUCUUAUGAACAAAGUUGACUGCAAAAGUUCUUAUGAACAAAGUUAACUGCAAAAAGUUAUCUUUAAUUGACAUCUAGUCUUUAUGCAGCAUGUUCUUUGGCCUUUUCUAUUGAAGAUGAUUAUUCCUCGGGAUUAUACUGGUGCAGUUGCCAUGGUGAGAUGCAUCUUAAAAAAUUUCAAGUCCUCAGACAUUUUAUUUUUCUUGCAGUACAUGCUUUUGUGUCGUUUUUUUCUUUACAUUGACACUCUAUUUUUCUUGCACACCUUUGAUGUUAUUAUGGACUGAAUUUAGUGAUUUUAAUGACUGGUUUUUGUUUAUGCUGCUACUCAGGUAUGCAGAUGCAUUGCAGAAUUAUGCAGACAUAGAUCUUCUUAUAACAAUAAUAUGCUUGAUGACUGUAAAGAUCGUAGUGAUAUUCCAAACCCUGAGGUAAUUAUGGUUAUCCAUAUAAUGUCUUAUAAGAUUGCUUUGUUCUCAAAUAUAUGUGUUAAGCAAACUCCAUUAACAAUAUGAAACUAAAUCACUUCGAUCCUAUUUAAAAUUCAGGAGCUGUUUGCACGUUUGGUGGUUCUUUUGCACAAUCCUUUGGUGAGGGAGCAGCGGGCUACUCAGAUUCUGACAGUAAGCAUAUAUGAUACUUGAAUUAGCUUAUAUUACUUAUCGGACAUUGACAAGUUGAAGCAAUUUUAAAGAUAUGGAGCUAAUUGCUCAUAUUCAAUUUGGAAUAUCAGCCUGUUGGAUUGGAAGAGUUUUCUACUUGGAAUAGGAUUAUUUAAACUUUUUAUAAAAUAGUUAAGCAAGCAUUGAAUUUCUCUUCUUUCAUGUGGCCUCCAAUUUUUUGUAUCACUUGUAAUGGCUGUGCUUUGAGCCGUCUUUCUAGGAAAAUAUACAUGAAAAGAAUAGGAGUUGAACAACGUAAAGCUCAAUGCAUGUAAAUCUAAAUGGUGUUUUUUUCUGUGCGUGUGUGGUUGAAUUGAAACUGUACAACUGGUGUUCAAAUCAGAAGAUUUGAUUUUUAGAGGUAUAGUGUGGCUAACGGAUUAGCAUUCUUAGACCAAUGGUGGUUCUGUCUUCUUAUUUUUAACUGUUUACAGGUCCUCUGUUAUUUGGCACCUAUGUUUCCAAGGAACAUCAACUUGUUUUGGCAAGAUGAGGUAGACCCUUAUUUAGGAGAAGAAUUGAGUUAAAGUUUAUGUUUGAGUUGAAUUUUUAUUCUUUUUACAAGAACCAAAAUCAUAACAGUGCAUGUAAUGUUUUAAAGGAAUUAAAAAGGAUGAAAGCAUACAGGUGUGAAAAUUUUUCAUAUGUGCUACUGAGUAAUUAAACUGUUAAAAUUUUGACAGCAACUAAAACUUAAAACACUUAAAUAGGGUGACAGUUCCAUUUAUAGGUUUCUGGCUACACUGAUGCUUAUUUUAUCAUCAAAGCUUCUAAAAUGCUCUAAAAUGUAUCAGCAUAUUGUUCGGCAUAUUAGAUAUACAAAGAUUAAAAAAGAGUAAUUAUUUGAGUAAAAAGCUCGGUCAGGAGUUAGAUCAAUGCUUUGUUGCUUCAAGUUCGUUCUGUAUAGUUCUAUUCCUUGUGUACUUAUUGAUGCCAAAUGCAUGUUUCCUAAUUCAACAAUAGCAAGCAUGCUCUACUGCUAAUUGAUUCUUAUCUUCGGGAAGCUCUAGAUUCCAAAAAUGAAGGCGUAUGUUAGUGACCCAGAAGAUCUAAAGCUGGAUCCUUCCUAUCAAGAGACCUGGGAUGACAUGAUAAUCAAUGUAAGGUUUCCAACUAAUAAAUCAUUCAUGUAUUUAGUCCUCGUAUCAGCCUCUAUAUUGCUUGGUCACAUGAACUAGAGGUGAUCAUGGGCCGGGCUGCUUCCUAGGCCCGGGCCCGGCCCAGCCCAAAAUAUGGGCCUGAAAUUUUGUCCAGGCCUGGCCCGGGAAAAAUACUAAGCCCGAGCCCGGCCCUUUUUUUUAUGAUAGAAAAAAAUGAUUUUAUCAUUUUAAUAGCCUAUAUUUUUAUAAUUUUUAAAAGAUUAAAUUAACUUUUUUUAUCAUUUGAGGGGCAAAGUGUAAUUUUACCAUUACUAUUUUAAAAUUUUAUAAAUUAUAAAGAGUUAAAAAAAGAAUUUUUAUUUUUAUUUUAGAGUAGAACCCUUGCCCAUGAAAUAUCAUAUCAACAAAUUUAACAAUACUAAUAAUUAAAAUUAAAUUUUAAAAUUUGAAAUAUAAAAAUUAAAAAUUUUAAAAUAAAAAUAAAAAAAGGAGGGAAGGGCUUAAGGAAAUGGGAAAUGGGGAGGGGAAAUGAGAAAUUUAUUUUAAAAUAUAUAUUUAUUAUAUUCGGGCCGGGGCCGGGCCAAAAAUUUUUGCCCGAGGCAAACGGGCCUCGUUUUUUGCCAAAAUCCAUAUUUCGGGCCUAUAUUUUUACCCGAACCCUCACAUAUUUUGGGCGGGCCGCCUGGCCCAUGAUCACCUCUAACAUGAACAUGUCCUGUAGAGAACUUUAUGUUUGACAUUGGGAAAUGGAAUUUUCUCUAUAUUCGGUCACAUGCUUUUUCACAUUUGAAUGAGAAAUGAAAUUUUCUCUUGAUUGCAAUAUAGCAAUUCCACAGCCGGGAGAACUAUUAGUUCCUCCUGAUGUGCUAAGUACCAUUAUAACUAUCUCAUUCUGCUUGUGUUGCAGUUUCUUGCAGAAUCUUUGGAUGUGAUUCAAGACACUGAUUGGGUGAUUUCUCUGGGAAAUGCUUUUACCAAGCAAUAUGCGCUUUAUACACCUGAUGAUGAACAUUCAGCACUCCUUCACCGGUAUUAGUUUGAAUUUUUCUUUCUUGAAUCACAAAAAUUGAGGGAGAGAAGAGAAGGUACAGAUGAAAAGUAGAAUAGAGGAAUGGAGAGGGUAAUAUUAUAUAGUGUUUGGGGUUCCUUAACAAGAAGAAACAACGGAAAGGAAGGGGUAUAUUAUAUUGUUUGCUUAGAGGAAGGAAAUGAUUUGUUAUAGUUUUAUAAGUAUGCCGCUUUAAGUAAAAAAAAAAAAAAAUUGUUUGUUAAAUUUUAAUGCUUCUGAAAGGCGUACAUUAUUUCCUAUAGACACGCAUACUUUUGGAUUUUGAGUGUGUGCUUACAUUUUAGCCGAACUUUUGCAUUCAGAGUUACAAUUUUCCUUACUCUAGCAGCCACAGAAGAAAAUUAUAGAACUGAGAUGAUUUCCAGGAAGUUGUUUGUUAACAUACAUAUGUAUGAGAUAUGGGCAUUGUAGGUGAGUGAGCUCUGGUUUUAAUCGAGACUUGGCCACCUCUCUUCAGCACAUUCUAGGAUUGAAAUAUGCAACAGAAAAUUUGCAACAGCCUGAGCCAGGGUUUUUUGCUAUGUAGUGUUUCUUAUUCAGGAGUGAAAUCUCCUUUCAUUAUUGACUCACUGAGCCUGUCAUCUCAUCAACCAAAACUAUUUUGUAAGGCAAUUUGAAGUGUUAGUUUUGUUUGCAAUUGCUAGAAGCAUCUUUUUGAAGUUACUGACAGUUCCCUGGAAUUAAGUCUACUAUCUACUAAUUUGAUUCACUGUACUUGUCAUGAGCUUUAUGUUUCUCUUUCCUCUUACUAAAGUUCCAGCAAUUUCAAUAACUAGCAACUAACAAUGACCUUCCACUUAAAAUAUUGCUAGCAUCUGAUGUUGAGUUUCUGAGGUAAUUCAUUUGGUAUGGAUUCCCCGAAGUUCACAUCCUUUCUCCUUUGUAGAAGCAAAGGCCAGGCGAAAUUCGGAACCCUCUGAUUUUCUUUCUUUUCUUUUUGCAAUCUGUGUUGCAGAUGCCUUGGUAUUCUUCUUCAGAAAGUUAAUGAUAGGGCUUAUGUUCGUGGCAAGAUCGACUGGAUGUACAAGCAGGCUAACAUUACUAUUCCCACCAACCGGCUUGGUUUAGCAAAAGCCAUUGGAUUGGUAGACUUGAUGCUUUUUCUUUUCUUUUAUUAUUAUUUUUUGCAUGUCUAUUGUUUUAAUUUUUGUGCUUUCAGGUUGCAGCAUCCCACUUGGAUACGGUGUUGGAUAAGCUGAAAAACAUUCUAGAUAAUGUUGGUCAAAGCAUAUUCCAAAGGUUUGGUGCUUACAUCCACCUUCCAUUUGCAACACUAUUUUGUGAUAUUUGGCUUAUAUGUAGAUUCUAACACUUCAUGCACUUUCUCUUUAAACUUUGGCUUUGCUUAUAUUAUUUGUUUACCUUAUAUGUAAUCCUUUGCAUGUUCUGAAACUGAAUUUGUAAGUUUUAAGGUUGUGUGCAUUCUAAAAGACUUUGUUCUGAAGUCUGAGGCUUACCUACUGCAGGUUUUUAUCAUUAUUCUCUGAAAGUUAUAGAACAGAAGAAUCUGAUGAUGUACAUGCUGCUUUAGCUCUGAUGUAUGGAUAUGCUGCAAGAUAUGCUCCCUCAAUGGUUAUUGAGGCUAGAAUAGAUGCCCUUGUUGUAAGGAAUCUUAACUUUUGGCCUCCUUAUAAUUCUCUGAAUUCUGUAUUUAUAUAUGUUCAUCACUUUUAGAUGUUUAGCCUCCUUUAUCAAUUAAGCACUAACUCAUUCGUAUUUAAUAGCUUUCAAGCUGCAUGCUUGAAAACCAUUAAUAUAUGGUGGGUACUGGAUUCAUCCCAUCGCAUGUGUUGCUCCCUGAUACAUAUCCCAAUUUGUGACUGAAUUGUUAUUUUCAUUGUUAUACCUAUCUGCAUUAUAGAUUGUUGAAUUUGUAUUAUGCCCAUUAGAAAUUACAGCUCUUUUCAUUGUGCUUCCUGUGCCAUCAUUUUAUAUGAUAUGUAAGGUGAUUAAUAGGUCUCAUCCUUGCAGGGGACAAACAUGCUUUCAAAGCUUCUUCAUGUACGUCACCCUACAGCAAAGCAGGCUGUUAUUACAGCUAUUGAUUUACUAGGUUUGUUGAAAUAGUAUUUUACUAGCGAGUUCAAAACCUGGAGUAAAUUGGUGUCCAUAAGAUUUUAGGUUGCGUAGGGCUUGAACCGUAUAAUAGCAAUGUACUUCUAUUAGAGGUAGAAGGAAGGUCCUAAGAGCUUGUUUUCAAUACUUUUUCUUGAUGAUUCAUGAGGAAAUAGAGGUUGGGAAGAUGUCAUGUAUUGAUUACUGCUGGUUGGAUGAAUUGGAGAUAUAAAACUGCUAGGAAAUAUAUUCACCUGUCAUACUUAAUAUGUUGAUAAGAAAUUAGUUGUUCUGAUAUUAAAAUUUGUAAUGUUGAUAUAACCCACUGUUCAUGCAGGUCGUGCUGUCAUUAAUGCUGCCGAAAAUGGUGCACCAUUCCCACUGAAAAGAAGAGACCAGUUGCUUGACUAUAUUUUAACUUUAAUGGGUCGAGAUGAAAGUGAUGAUUUUGCUGAUUCCAGUCUUGAACUUCUGCGCACCCAGGUAUUUUAUUGCUCUAAUGGCUGCAGUAUGAUGCAGUUGUAUUUGUUGCCUAUUACCUCAACUGAUAUUUUGAUGAGUCAUAUUUAUUGUCUAUUAUCUCAACCGAUUUUGUGAUGAGUUGUAUUUAUUACAUCUUUUCUGCAUAUGGAUUCUUCUCUAGGCUCUUGCUUUGAAUGCCUGUACCACCUUGGUUUCAGUGGAGCCAAAGUUGACUAUUGAAACAAGAAAUCGUGUUAUGAAGGUAUAUCUUUUCAGUUUAUUUUUGUUAAUCUCAGUAGCAAUGUAAAUGUUGUUCCAUAGUUUUUCUUACUUGGAGCCAUGAAUAUGUCUGAAAAUAUUUACACAGGCUACUUUGGGGUUCUUUGCUUUGCCAAAUGAUCCAAUUGAUGUUAUCAAUCCCCUUAUUGAUAACCUUAUCACUCUCCUAUGUGCCAUUCUUCUCACAAGGUAUUAUGGAAAUAUGGUUUUGAGUUUUUUUUUUCUUGUAUUAGUUGUGUAAGAUUUAUUAUGUAGUUGGAGAAUAUUUCUUUGAUUUAUGAAAUCAUAAUUGAUUGCUAGAACUUAAUCAAGUCAUGUUGAUUGUGUAGAUGGUAUUGGCGCUCCUAGACUACUUAAAUAAUG